UUUUUUUUUUUUUUUUUGGUAUGUCAAGGCUAACGAAUGAAAUGCAUUAGCUUGUUUUGUGACUAUAACUGCAAAUGUCCAAAUUGGAGUAUCUCCAUUUCUCACUUCGGAUGGUUAACUUUAUAAACAAGAUAUAGGAAACAUGUGAACAUCUUGAGGAACAAUUCAAAUUAUUCAUUAGAAGUCCUGGGUUAAGUUCCAAGAUUUAAAUCAGACCCUUCUAGCAGCUUCAAGGGUACUUAGCAACCUAUAACAUAUUAAUGAAGAUUUAGGAUUUAGACUCCGGAAUACAAAUAAAUAUGUAUCUCAUGCUUUGACUAGCUUCCCUACAUAUGCAUAAAAUGGAGAUGACCCAAAAAAAAUAGCAGAAUCUAGCUUCCCUACAUAUGCACAAAAUGGAGAUGACCCAAAAAAUAGCAUAAUCGCCUUAGUUUCUGUGGUUAAGGUGAUUCUCCGCUUAAUAUCCACAUUGACUCAUUAUGCAAAAUCAACUGAGCUAAUUUUAUUUAUUUAUUUAAUGUCAAAUAGGAACUCCUAAUUAACUGAUUACUGUCGAAAAGUGCUAUUUUGUAGACCUAAUUAUAAGGGUUUUAAGCACCUUUGAGUAGUAAUCAUAUUCAUUUAACCUAAUUAAUUCAUUAAGCUCCUUAGUAAUUAGUUCUAACCAUUUUUAGUGGCAAGUUUACAUGUUUUUCAUCAGCUUAUGAACCAAUUCAAGCAUGCCAAUUGAUGGAGGAGCUACUUGGGCGAGUUAAGCAAGGAUUUUGGACGUUUACAGGCUUGAAUUUCAAGUGGAAACACGAGCACAAGCAAUGGGAACACCAUUUCGCAAGGGGAGGCAAUUCACCUUGCCAAAUGACCAAUUUCGCAAGGGGAUUUUCCUCAUGGUGCAAAAUUUGGUCAUUUCGCACCAUGAAGAAACCACCUUGCAAAAUUUCGCAAGGUGGAUUUAGGCACCUUGCGAAAUGCCAAAUUUCACAAGGUGGCUUUUCACCUUGCGAAAUUUGGACCUUUCAUCUUCCCCCCUUGCGAAAUGCCUUUGAAAUCCCCUGUUUUGAGACGCUGUUGAUGAUAUUCCACUGCCGGUUCUCCAAGAUAUUUUGCUUGACUUUUAGCUUUAUAAAUACCUAUUUUACCCUUGUAAUCAACCAAUGAAAAGGUUGCUUUUGUAAUAGCUCUUGUAAUUUAGCUUUUUAUUGUCUUUAAAUAGAGGUGAAGAGCCUCAGACACGAUCAUCUUGUAACCUGUAACUUUAUAAGUUAUAAGAGCACUUUUGUUCAUACGCUUCUUUUCUCUUUUCUUUCUCAUUUUCUUAGUAGCCAAACAUCCUUGGAGGAUGAAAUCCCCAAGGAUGAGAGGCUAAAACCUUUUAGUUUCUUGAAGUAAUGGAUGCCAUGUGAAGCUCCCGUGUCAGGAUGGAGAUUUCCAAGCCAUAAAUGUAAGUAGCUGAGCGUCAUAAAUGUUUUCAUUCAAAGUAAAGCUUUUAAUCCCUCUGACUUGCUUUGAAUGGCCAAUACUUGAUAACCUUUUGGUCUCAAUGGAUUCUUAUUGUUAGAUCCACUGACGUUCAUUAGUUAUCUCCUACGAGCCAUUGUAUUGCAAGUCGAGGAGAUGACCUAUACCAAUAAAAGAGCAUUUAUGAGGUUCAACUACCCUUUUUGUAAGUUUUCAAGGACUAAAACUCAGUUGUUAAACUCAUACCGGUUCGAGAAGUAAGCAUCACCUUAGUUGCUUCCCCAACUCGAGGUGAAAAGUCCCAAAAUCUCCAUUUUUACACAGUGAGUUAAGCAUGGCUAUCCAAAGCUUUAAGAAACUUCUUUUUCCAUCUUUUAACCUAUUUUCAUGUUAGUUUAGUUUACAACACCUUCAUCUUUUUAUGUUUUCAUCUUAACCUAAUUUUUAUUAAGAAAAGUUCACUCCAUCCUCCGAACUUCACCAGUUAAAGUAAAAACCCUUCCCAGUGUUCGAUCCUAGAGCCACUAUGCUAUAGUAGCUUUGCUACUUUAGUGUAAGGACCUUAGGUAUAAAUUUUGUUGAUACCCUUACAUGCCAAGCUACCAAGAGUCGGGUUAUCAUUAACCUAACCAUUGGCCUGUGUAAAUUGAUUUCACAUGCACAAUGUUGUAGUAGAAGUCCAUAUUUUGAAUUUUAUUUUUGUAAAGGUAAGGAAAAUGAAGCAUUGUGUAAUUAUAAAAAUAACUUCAUUGGAAUUCACAAGGUUCACCCAAAAUGGAGCUACAUCUGUAUUCUAUCCUACAGUAGACUAUAUAGAUUGUACAAUAGUAAAUUGCAAAUACAAUUAAUAAGUCUUGUGCUUCCUUACUAAUAAUCCUUUGACAUGAACAUUGCAGCACUAAGGUCCUCUUGGGAAGACACCUUGCACCCAUGAGAGCACUAAGAGGAAGCAAGGCAGAGUCAUGGGUGCAAUGUCAUGACUUGUUGUUGCACCAAGAGAGGCUUGGUGAUGCCAUGGUGUUGCAGUAGCAAGAAUGUUGCCUUGGCAGGGACACGAUCUAGGGAUAGAUGCCAAGAAAGGCUUAGCACUCACAUGAGUUGCACAAAGAUGAAUGUAAUAGAGCAUCAGAGAGACGUCUUGGCAAGUAAAUGAAUGGAUCCAAGAGACAACAACAUGAGGAGUUUCAAAUGGAUAAGGAAUGACUCAAAGACAUUUGAAAGCUACAAGUUGGAUUCUAAUUACGAUUGCAAUUUGAGUUUGAGUAGGAGUUUAGAUUUUGAUUGUAAUUGUAGUAUGAGUUGGACUAGGAUUGCUUAUCCUUAGUCAAUAUAGGAGCGGUUCGUGUCACCCUAUGAAAAGAGUUUGAGUAGGGACUAGGAUUGCUUACUCCUAGUCAAAUAUGGAGUAGGUGGUGCCACACCUAUAAAAAAAAGGGACAACAUGAGAGAGAGAGAGAGAGAGAAAGAGAGAGUGAAUUCACUAAAGAUAUUGUGGGAGUUUUGCUUUGUUACGUCUUGUAUUAUUACUUAGAAUAGGAAUAAAAUACAAGUUGGGGCUAGAGCCCCAUAAUUAAUCUCGUGUGCCUUUGUGGUUAUUCUUUAUUUGUCAUCUCGUGUGGAUUGGAUUAGGUUGACUUAGAGGGCUUCUAAGCACCACCUUUGUGGGUUAUUAUUUAUUUUCCAUCUCUUGUGGAUUAGAUUAGGUUGACUUAGAGGGCUUCUGAGCACCACCUUUGUGGGUUAUUAUUUAUUUUCCAUCUAUUGUGGAUUAGAUUAGGUUGACUUAGAGGGCUUUUAAGCACCACAUUUGUGGGUUAUUCUUUAUUUUCCAUAUCGUGUGGGUUGGAUUAGGUUGACAAGGAGAAAAAUUAUGUGGGAAAUUUGUGUUGGGACACUUACCAUAACCAAGUAAAAUCUACCAAGUCCUUUGUAAUAUCUUCAACAAAUAUUUUAGACUAGUUCUUUCAGUUAGUGUAAAGGAGGAAGAAGUGGUAUUGAUUCUAGAAAUAGGGUGUGUGUAUUUGAACUACAAUCCUUAUGAUCCUUAGGUCUCUAAACCUUCGUGAUGGGCUCCCUGACAUUUCAUAGGUUGUGCUACACAUGCGUUUGAAAUUUAGAGUGCGUUUGACAGUGAUUCCGGGAAGUGUUUUUGGCCUUUCUUACACUUGAAAAUUUUUAUUUUUCAAGUAUUAGAAAUGCUACAAACACUUUUGAAAAUUACUGUCAAACACACUCUUAGGAGCGCACAUAUAUAGUAGAAAACUAGAAAUUGUGGUUUUUUUAGGAUUUACUGUAAUGUCAUUAGGAGGGUAGUAAGUUGAAAUUGAGUAUGAACAAAUAUUUCUUUCUUUGGGAUGUUCUUCUAGUAGGUGCUGAUGAAACUGUUCUUUCUACUGCCAAUGUCACAUAUCAGCCAGAAAUUGAAAAUUUCAGUCAAGGUGUCCUCUGUUUUAGUGGUGAGGAAAGCUAGAAAUUUUAAGGUGAAGUUUUGUUAAAAACCUUAAGUAGCUGGGAUAUCAGGCCUGUUUUGCUUGAAAAAAAAAGUUGCAAGAUAACUCAUAUGCCAAACAGGUUCUGAUAUUGUGAAUCUAUCGGCAGACAUCAGUAAUCUCAUCUUCUGAGAUGGAUGUUGGGGGUGCAUGUGGUGGUGGAGGGGCAAGGUUUCAUUUGGUUUAUUUUGUUGAUGGAUAUUGUCUAGCCACCUGCGCCAAGUUUGAGGGGUGGUGGGUUGUGAUGACCCUACAAUUACUAUUAAUUUCUUCAUCUUUUACCGAUUAAAGUGUCCGAACAGUCGAAGUUACCCUUAUGCAUGUCAACUUGAUCACUUACCUCUUCAAUGGAGUUUAUGCUGGUUCAUUUAGGAACUGAUUUUUAUUGUUAUGUAUUAUAUGCUGAUGUUUAGGUCUCUCCAUCAUCACUAUAUACAAAAAUUCUAGGUUGAUACUAUAGGUUGAGAUUUAUUUUUUAAAUAAAAAAUAAUAAAAAUAAAAAUUAUGGUGAUGUUUAGUUGUUUUAUGGAAAAUUUUAACAAGUAAAAGUUAUUUUUGGGCAAGUUUUCAAACAAAAAGAAAAGUAAAAGUUGUUUUGACAAAAACAUAUAGAAAAAAAAAUCAUAGAAAAUAAAUAAUUUCCCCAUAUUCUAACUUUUUUGAAUUUUUCUCAAUGGGCAAAGGAAUAUCAAAUCAAGUUUGAGUAGGAUUUCUUAAUUUUUAAAAUAACUUACAAUUAAAAAAUUUUGGUGUUUUCAUUUUUGGACAAUUUUUUAUUAAGCAAAUGGACUCUGAGUCAUGCAAGAGAUAUGGUUCAUUAACCGGUCGAACAAUUUUUUUAAAUUAAUUUAAAAGUCAAAUACAUAAUCAAUUUCACAAAAUUUAUAAACAAAAAUAGGUUUAGAGAAGAUCUACACAUAAUUUUACUUUUCUAAUUUUAUUUUAUUUUAUUUUUUGUUGGAAAAUAGUCUUCAAAUCAUGUAAGAUUUAAUAGGUUAAAUUUGUUAACAAUAAAUUUUAAAUUAUAAAAUAUAAUCUGGAACUCAAAAAUCAAUUCAAGUAAUGCUAAAAAAAAAUCAAAUUUGGUAUAGAAUGACUUUGUAAAUUUUUUUACAAAACAAAUGAAUUUUAAAUCAAGUGAGAUUUAAUGCAUUAGAUUUUUAUCAAAUAUAGUAAUUUUAAAAAUAAAUUUGGAACUCAACAAUAGACACAAUAAAUACCAAAAAAUAAUGAACCAAAAUUGGUUUGGAAUAACUCCACAACCUUUUUUUUUUUUUUUUGGUGCACACGAAUUUUCUUACUAGGUAUAUUGCUUUCAAAUUGAGAAAGAUUUACCAUUUAGAUUUUUUUUUAAUGAGUUUAAUGGUAUUUUAAAAUAAUUCAAAAUUUAAAAAAUUGACUAAUUAAUAUUAUAAAUUGAUAAACCAAGACUAUUUCAAAAUGCAUUGGGGGCUAAGGGGGUUGAAAAUAGGGACAAUGGGAUGGGUUUGGGACAUGACACUCAUAUCUCAUUUCCAUUCCAAUUACACAGUUAUCUCCCAUCCUUAUCCCAAACUUGUGUUGGAGCAAGUUGAUUUGUUCCCAUCUUUGUUGACGAAAUGACUAAUAACCUCAUCCCCUCCUUAUCUUAGAUGUACAUUUUGUCAAAUUUGAUCAGGUAUGAUUGAUCCAAGCCCUAACCCUAAUUGGUAAUGAGUGAAUACUACACCUAAUUGCAUUCUUCUUUCAUUGCAAAAUAAUGAGAUUAUAAUAAUCUAGCAAAUAAGAAAAAAUAGUAUGGAAGUUCAAAUUAACACCAUAACUAUCAAUAAUUUUAAGCUUAUAGAUGACUUAAAUGAUUAAAAACUAAUGCAAAAUCCUAAAAAAAAUAAAAAUCAUAUAAAGAAUUCACAAGAGAACAGAAUGAACAAAAACCAAAUAUGAACAUGGGUCAACAUUAGUUAUGGAUUUGGAUUCCUUUCAAGGCCAAUCUUUGAACCAAGACUUCAUCAAAUCAACUACUUCAAAGGCUUUUGUGUUCUUCUUGGGUUGUGCUCUCAAACAAAGACUUCGAGGUGAUGUUCUAGAUGAUUGAAUUACACAUAUUUAGGGUGGAGAGAUUGGAGAAGCUUGAAGAUGCCAACGAUGGGUACAAUUGAGUGGUCAAUAAGAACAAUGUAGCCUAUGACUAGUUUGAUGUCAUGGUACAAGAGUUUUAGGCAUUGAGGUUAAAGCAAGAGCAACAUGGAAUUGAUUUCGGAGUCUUUCAGUUAGUGUAAAGGAGGAAGAAGUGGUGUUGAUUCUAGAAAUAGGGUUUUAAGUGGUGCGUGAUUACUACUCAAAAAGUGCUAUUUGAUAGCCUUUAAUUAAUCCUUUUUAACACUUUUGAGUAGUAGUUUAGGCCUUUUAACUCAAUUGGCAUGUUAAGGAUCCUUUAAAGCAAUUUUGAUCACUUUGUGCAAGUUUUGGUGUUUUUGUUAGUAUUUUGAUCACCAAAGCAAGUCAAGAAUGAGGAGAACUAUGAGGAAUCAUGGGCAAAGCUUAGAAUUCAAUUGCCAAGAGUGAAUCCGGAUUGCAAGGAGAAAAAGCAAAGAGAAUCUGUCAUGAAGCCUAUUCUUGAUGACAGUCGUAGCAGCCACUUUUGGAGCACUUUCUGAAGUCCAAAUGAUGCAAGCUAUAUACCAUUUCAAAGAUCAGGAAGUCAACAAUCCAAUGCUUCAAACGGUGCGCGAUUCGGAGUUGAAACGAAGAAGUUGCAGCCAUUACAAGCCAGUCACUCUAAAGUGUUGCGGAAUCAGCCUUUUGUUGCGAGAAUUUCGCAGCACUUUUGUACAGUAAGGUGUUUCUCCUUCUGACGAUGCACGAACCAUGCCGCGAGAGGGAAGCUAGGAACUUCAAGAUGGAAGCCAACUUUGCAGCCUGGUGAAGAUAGCUUGGUCUUGCGAAAUAAUUUCGCAGCCCUCUUGGGUGUCUGCGAAAUUUCGCAGGCACCACUUUUUUCCUGCGAAAUGGCUCCGGAAGCCUCCCGAAGCUUGCUACCGACAUUGGGAGAUAUUUUCCAUUAGAUUUUUGUUGUCUAAAUUCCAAAAUACUCCUUGUAAACCACCAAUUACAUGAUUCCUUAGUUUUUAAGUUAGUAAAAAGACCAAAUAUCUAUGUAAUAAUUAGUUUUAUAUUAGUUUGCUAUAAAUACCUCUCGGGAGCAUGUUCUCAGAGAGGAGUUCCUUCUGUAACCAUUUUGGUAAGCAAGUAAAGUCUUUUCUUUCUACUGCCUUACCUUCUCACUUUGUAUUUUCAUUUUAUUUCUAAGUUAUGAAUUCUCUGAGGAGCUUUCCCCAGAGAAUGAGUAACUAAACCUCCAAUUCCUUGGAGCUAAGGUUGCCGGGGAAGGUUCCAAGUGCAAGAAUGCAAAGCUCUGUGGUUUUAGCUAGUAAUGAAGAGGAAGUGAAAUCCUUUAGUGAUUUCAAUGUUUUUAGUUAACUUAAAACACCUUGGAGUCACCUGGGCCAACACUUGGUAAGGCAAGUGAUUUCCAACCGUGGAAAUGCACUAGUUUACCCCUUGCGAGCCUCUGGUAGGUGACUUCAAGGUAGGAUUUUCUGGAAUUACCAACACUUGGUAAGCUUUUGGACUCCUAGGAGACAUCCAUUAGUUAUCUCUUGCGAGUUUGUGAAGGGGAAUCCAAGGUUAAAGAUCACCUUGAAUGGUAAGUGCUCGUGAGAGGCAUGAACCAUUGCAAGUUGUAUCAGUGAGAGAAUUAAAGUGAAAUCUAAUUGAAGGAGUCUCUGUACAUCACCGGUUAGAGAAUUGACUAUAAGUUGAAUCUCUAAUGCGAGGAAAUGAACCAUCUGACCGGAGCUAUGUCUUUUGCAUGAGGAACCACCCCAGUGAACCUAAAUCUCCAAGGAAUGCUUUUCUUCCUAAAUUAUUCCAAACUUCUGUUAAGUUAGUUAGUUUAAGUCUAAACCUUUACCAAUCAAACUUUGUGUUUUAUUUCUUAAGCUAACCGUGAAAUGAAACAAAACCAAUUCACUUGGAAUUGGUAUCCUUGAUUGCUUGCAAAUCAUUCCCAGUGAACGAUCCUUAGAGCCACUAUACUAUAGUAGCUUUGUAUUUGCUACCCUAGUGUAUGGUGUUAUAGGUAUAAAUUUUGUUGAUCACUUCCUCAAUCAAGGAACACCAGCUGAACACAAAUCAGCUGAGACACCAAUUGGGCAUGAGUCAAAUGGCGCCGUUGCCGGGGAAUGAGUGUCAAGAUCAUUGUGAUACCAUUUUUGAGCACUUGUGAUUUUCAUCACAAGUUGGUAAAGUUUCUUUCACUUUACUAAUUUUCAUUCUCUCUUUGUUUAUUUACAAUCUAAGUUUAUCUUUUUAAAAUUUAGUCUAGUUUAAUUUUGCUAUUGUAGCCUUGUUUCUCUUGUUGUCCUCUGUUCUUGUUGUCCUCUGUUUUCAUUUUAGUUGCAGCUGAAUACUAGUUGUGUAUGCCAAAGUGGAUACGAGACAUUGGAGGUAGGCUUAUUAAGUGUGAUACACCUCAGAGAGGAGAAUUGGAAGUAAUCUUGAAUAUCAUGGAGGCUGCACCUGAAGAUCAGCAUAGUCACCAAGGUCGUCAAGACAAUCUCAAUGAAUUCAGAUCAAUGAGGGACCGUAUGCAUCCACCUCGUAUGAGUGCACCAUCAUGUAUAGUGCCCCCUACAGAGCAACUAGUGAUCAGACCAUAUCUUGUUCCACUUCUACCAACUUUCCAUGGGAUGGAAAGUGAGAAUCCGUAUGCACACAUCAAGGAAUUUGAAGAUGUUUGUAAUACAUUCCAAGAGGGAGGAGCUUCAAUUGAUUUGAUGAGGCUUAAGUUAUUUCCUUUUAAUUUAAAGGAUAAGGCCAAAAUUUGGCUUAAUUCUUUAAGGCCAAGGAGUAUCCGCUCUUGGACUGAUUUACAAGCUGAAUUCCUCAAGAAAUUUUUUCCUACUCAUAGAACAAAUGGCUUGAAAAGGCAAAUUUCAAACUUCUCAGCUAAAGAGAAUGAGAAAUUCUAUGAGUGUUGGGAAAGAUACAUGGAAGCUAUAAAUGCUUGUCCUCACCAUGGCUUUGAUACUUGGCUACUGGUGAGUUAUUUUUAUGAUGGUAUGUCCUCCUCAAUGAAGCAACUCCUCGAGAAAAUGUGUGGAGAAGAUUUCAUGAGCAAAAAUCCAGAGGAAGCUAUGGAUUUCUUGAGCUAUGUAGCUGAUGUUUCAAGGGGAUGGGAUGAACCAACUAAAGGAGAAGUGGGAAAGAUGAAGUCUCAGUUGAAUGCUUACAAUGCAAAGGCUGGGAUGUAUACUUUAAAAGAGGAUGAUGACAUGAAAGCAAAGUUGGCAGCUAUGACAAGAAGAUUGGAGGAGCUGGAGCUGAAAAGAAUGCAUGAAGUGCAAGCUGUUGCUGAAGCACCAGUGCAAGUGAAGUUGUGUCCCAAUUGUCAAUCGUUUGAACAUUUGGUAGAGGAAUGCCCUGCAAUUUCAGCUGAAAGGGAAAUGUAUAGAGAUCAAGCAAAUGUUGUUGGACAAUUCAGGCCCAAUAACAAUGCUCCUUAUGGAAAUACCUACAAUUCAAGUUGGAGGAAUCAUCCAAAUUUUUCAUGGAAGGCCAGAGCAACUCAAUACCAACAGCCGGAUCCACCAUCUCAACAAUCUUCAAGUAUUGAACAAAUAAUAGCUAAUCUCAGCAAGGUAGUGGGAGAUUUUGUGGGAAAGCAAGAAGCCACCAAUGCUCGAGUGGAUCAAAGAAUGGACAGAGUGGAUCAAAGAAUGGACAGAAUGGAGAGUAUGUUGAACAAAAGAAUGGAUGGAAUGCAAAAUGAUAUGAAUCAAAAAUUUGAUAACAUCCAAUAUUCAAUUUCAAGGCUUACAAAUUUGAAUACACUGCAAGAAAAGGGAAGAUUUCCUUCUCAACCUAACCAAAAUCCCAAAGGUGUCCAUGAAGUGGAAAGCCAUGAGGGAGAAUCAUCACAGGUGAAAGAUGUGAAAGCUUUGAUCACUCUAAGGAGUGGUAAGAAAAUUGAGCAGCCAACACCCAAGCCACAUGUUGAGAAAGAAGAAGAGAUGAAGAAAGGGAAGGAAAUGGAAGAUAAAGGCAGUGAGAUCAGUGAAGAAAAGAAGGACUCUGAUGCAACAAUGAAAGUAAUUCCAGAGAAGGAGCUUCUGAAGGAAGAAAUGCUGAAGAAAUCAACUUUUCCACCUUUUCCUCAAGCAUUACAGGGGAAAAAGGGGGUUAGAAAUGCAGCUGAAAUCCUAGAAGUAUUGAGGCAAGUGAAAGUUAAUAUUCCACUGCUGGAUAUGAUCAAACAAGUUCCAACGUAUGCAAAAUUCCUAAAGGACUUGUGUACUAUCAAAAGAGGGUUGACUGUAAACAAGAAAGCCUUCUUGACUGAGCAAGUAAGUGCAAUCUUACAGUGUAAGUCUCCUUUGAAGUACAAAGACCCUGGAAGUCCUACCAUUUCAGUCAUGAUUGGAGGAAAGGUAGUGGAGAAAGCCUUGCUAGACUUGGGAGCAAGUGUGAAUUUGCUUCCAUAUUCUGUCUACAAGCAACUGGGACUUGGAGAGUUGAAGCCAACAGCAAUCACUUUGUCUCUGGCAGAUAGAUCAGUGAAAAUUCCAAGAGGGGUAAUUGAGGAUGUAUUGGUUCAAGUAGAUAAUUUCUACUAUCCUGUAGAUUUUGUUGUUCUUGAUACAGAUCCUACUGUAAAGGAAGCUAAUUUAGUUCCUAUCAUCCUUGGAAGGCCAUUUCUUGCAACUUCAAAUGCAAUCAUCAACUGUAGAAAUGGGCUUAUGCAACUCACUUUUGGUAACAUGACACUGGAUCUAAAUAUUUUCUAUAUGUCUAAAAAGCAAAUCACUCCAGAAGAAGAAGAGGGUCCAGAAGAGCUAUGUAUUAUUGAUACUUUGGUGGAGGAGCACUGCAAUCAACAUAUGCAAGAUAAGUUGAAUGAAAGUUUUGUGGAUAUUGAGGAAGGUUUUUCUGAAUCUCCUAAUGGGCUUGCUACUCUACAAAGUUGGAGAAAGAUAGAAGGAAUUCUACCUUUGUUCAAUGAAGAAGAGGAGGCAGCUGUUGAAAAAGAAAUUCCAAAACUCAAUCUGAAGCCUUUACCUAUGGAGCUGAAAUAUACAUAUCUUGAAGAAAAUAAUCAAUGUCCUGUCGUAAUAUCUUCAUCUCAAACCAAGUCUCAAGUGAAGGAUGCAAGCUUCAAAUGGGAUCCGGGCAAACUGAAUCAGGAAGGGCAAAAAGUUUUGAUGUAUGACACAAGACUCCAUAUCUUUCCUGGGAAGCUCAAGUCAAGGUGGAUUGGUCCAUUUGUUAUUCACCGAGUAUAUUCCAAUGGAGUGGUGGACUUAUUGAAUUCCAAUGGCAAGGACAGCUUUAGAGUCAAUGGAUAUCGUCUUAAGCCGUUCAUGGAGUCAUUCAAAUCAGAAAAGGAGGCAAUCAACCUCCUUGAACCUCAAAAAGCCUAAGUGAAAUGGGUUUGCUGGACGUGGUUUUACCACAGUCCAAAAAUUUUUGUAAAUUUUGUAAAUUUUCAAGUUGUUUCCAUGCUUUUAAUCUUAGUUUUUGAUUUUAAAUCAUGUUUUUAGGUGUGUUUUAAUCGUUUUAUAUGAUCCCAGGCGGAAGAAAUUUCAAGGGGAUUGAAAAGAAAAAAAUCGGGUCGAAAUUGGAGCCGAAACAGAGCAAAAACAGGGGAAAAACAGAGCUCUGCGAAAUUUCGCAGGGUGAAGGAAACUUCUGCGAAAUUGGCAUUUUGCUGCCAAACCAUUCCGCAGCACUGUAGAAGCCUCUGCGAGUGUAUUUCGCAAUUGCGAAAGUGGAUUUGGCACACGAGUGCCACUUCGCAGCACAGUGACAUCAAUUUCGCAGCUGCGAAACUCACUGCGAAGUUGCUGCGAAAAUGGCAAGUUGCUGCGAAAUUGGCGUUUUGUUGCGAAACGUAAUCUGACCCCUGGGCUUCCGUUUUUCCUAUUUAUACCUGUCAAAAGUGCUGCGAAAAAGGUUUCAAAAAUUAGAGCACCAUUCUCGCAGCCCUUUCAUCUUCUUCGCCAAGCCACGCCGUCCGUUUCUCCGGUCGUCUUCUCCGUUUAGCAGCGCCGGCCAAAGAUCGAUAGCCCAAAAAUGGCACGAACGCGAGGGGCAAAGUCUUCAUCCCCUUCGAACCGCAAAAGGAGUCUGCGAAAGGAGCCAAGUUCAGGCUCUGUUCCAGAACCUGCUCCAAAGCCUUCGCCGUCGAGACCACAACCUUCUCCAGUGAAGCCGGCGCCACCAAAGCCGCCGGCAAGGCGAUAUUUAACCAGGUCAGGUGGUCAGCCAUUGAAGAAGAAAGCCAGAGUUGAGAGCUCUGAACCAAUCGAUUUGACUGAGCAAUCCCCUGAGAAAUCACCAAAUCCUUCACCGGUACAAAUUCCAGUGCCAUCACCGGUUCCCUCGCCAAUUCCCUCACCAGAAGCAACUCCAAUUCCAUCGCCGGUACCAUCUCCGGCACCCCAAGAAAAAGCUCAGGAGCCUCAAGCGCCAAUUCCAGAGCCCCAAAUUGCAGCUGAAGCACCUCUGGAAGAAGUGAUCCGAAGGCCAAUGCUGCCUCAGCCCCCAAUCGAAGGAAACCUGGAUUGCCGAACUCGGGCAUUCCAUUCUGAGCUUUGCUUCGAUUUAACAGCAUUCAGAGUGAGGCCAGAGCUUGCCCAAUCCUUCCAACUGCUGAGGAGAUAUCAUAUGGAGCAUCUGCUAGCUCCAAGGGAUUUUUUCUAUCCCCGGGUAGUCACGGAUUUCUACCAAACCAUGACAACCAAAGAAGUAAGAAAUCCAACUCUGAUUCAUUUCAUAAUUGAUGGAAGGCAUGGUAUUUUGGGAGCAAGACAUAUUGCUGAAGCCCUGCAAAUUCCUUUUGAGCCAACUCAAUUCGACAAUUUUAAAGCUUGGACAAAUCCUACUGAGUUAGAGAUGGUUAGCACACUAACCAGAGGAGCUGCAAAUCGAUCGCAUUUGUUGAGGGGGGAGCUACCUCCAGUUAUGUUUUUGAUUGAUGCCUUUUUGAGGCAUAAUAUCUAUCCCCUGCAGCAUUGGACCCAAAGAAGGGGAAUUCUCCUAGAAGCCUUGUACAAAAUGUCUGAAGGAUUCUUCUUUGGGCCUCAUCAUCUGAUCAUGGCAGCCCUUCUAUACUUUGAGGAGAAGGUUCACAAGAAGAAGCUUCAAAGAGCAGAUUGCAUUCCACUCCUCUUCCCAAGGCUGCUAUGCCAAGUUUUGGAGCAUCUCGGAUACCCCUCUGAGCCUCAGCAGGAAAGAAAGAGAAUAUGCCGUGAGCCUUUUACCCUUGAUAAAUGGAAUAAUAUGACGGCCUACAAAAUUGAUCAGCCUGGGCAGCCUCAGCCAGCAGCAAGGAGAGUCUCCCCAAGACAUAUACCUGAAGGUAUAACACUUGCUACUCCUGCCAUCCCUCGAGCUCCACCAGCUGCACCUGCUCCAUCACAGCCAUCCACAUCAGCUGAGCCGAGGAUGGCCAUCCCUAUAUCCGAAUAUCGAGAGCUGUGCCGUGCAUUGGAGACUCUUACAGCUUCUCAGAGCAAUCUUGCUCAGGAGUUGGCAGCCAUUAAAGCAUGCCAGGAGCAGAUGUUAGCCUCUCAGACUCAACAAGCUGCCAUCCUAAGGCAGCUUCAAGUCCAUUUCGAUCUGCCACAAGCUGUAGAGCCCUCUAUUCCUACUCCACCAGAGCCACACUCUCAGCCUUCAGAGUCUCAUCCUCCAGAACCCGAAGCACCAGCUGAUCCACCUACUGAGGAGGCAGAUCCUUCUGCCUAGCACCAUCACCCCCCUCAUCAGACAUUAUAUAUAUAUUUGCUGUUUAUGUUUUUAUGCAUGUUUGUUUUGUUUUAGUUGAAAAGAAAUCCCAGUAUUUUGGUACUAUAUAUGGGAUUCCUUGUGUUACUUGUCUUUAGUAUUGUAAUCACAUGAACUCAAAGUAAUACAAGUUGACUAUUUCUUGUUAAAAGUUAGCAUUAAAGUUUCCUUAUUUCCUUUUCUCACAUAUUCUAUUCUUUUUGAAACAUGUGGUUUUCCCCAAUCAAUAUUCGAAUUUGAUAUCAGCAUGGAGGUACCACUUCCUCCCUUUUAUUACAGUCACUCAAAUCACAUUGAGGACAAUGCUCAGUUCGGUUGGGGGGUAUGAGGAAGGAAGUAUUCUAAACCUUUUUGGUAUUGCAAUUAUAUUGGUUAAUUAGUUGUAGAUUUUACUUUUUACUAGUGUUACUCUAUUCUCCAUGAAUUUUGAGGAAAAAUUUUCAAAUUAAACCAAGAGAAAUUGAACUGUUGUUUUUCACUUGACUUAGAGUAUGGAUUAUGCUUACUAAAGUGGUUCAAUUGUUGAAACUUCUACUGAAAUUGAAUUGAGUUCUUCCACUUUAAGCUAUCCACACACUGUGCACAUUAGUUUCCGAUUAUAAGAUGAAAAGCUAUUUCCCUCUUGACUUAGUAUAUUUUUGGGACUUGGUAUAUUUGACCUCAUUUGAUAAAAAUUGAAACACCCUGCAAAAGGCCAAUGAGCCUUUGAAAUAAAGAAAGUUGUUUGCUUGCCUUGAAACCCGAGCAAGGUCUGAGGGGUAUAUGGUGAAAAUCUUUAAAGCCUGGUGCCCUAAGCCUUAAUUGGUUGGGAGUCACCGACCUCAAUGCUCGUUACAAGGGUGAAUAGGUAGAGUUAGCAUAUGGUAGAUGCUUGGGUAUUAGAAAUUCAUUCUUAAAAGUCCGGGGAAAAAUCCGAGGAGUUAGUGGUUGAAAGAUCCUUAAAACUUGGUGCCCUAAACCUUAAUUGGUUGGGAGUCAUCGAUGGACCCCCAUUACAUGGACAAGUCAGAAAGAGUACCCCAUAAAGCUACCUUAAAAAAAAAAAAAAAAAAAAAAAAAAAAAAAAAGAUGAAAGUGUGUUCUUUUCUUAUUGAUUUUGGUCAGUUUGCUAAAGUGUUGAAAAGAGAUAGGUUGGGGGGUGAGAUUAGUAGCAUAUUAUUCUCGGAACCUAAGGAACCAAUACACAUAGAUUUUUGUGGAAGAUUGAAGUUUAGUUCUUAGAAAAUGAAAUGAUUUUAAAACUUCAGUUUGCAUAAUGCACUCCCUUGAUUGACAGUGUUUAGCAUAGGUGUUAUGACUCUUGUUGAGAUUUGGGUUUGUAUUUCUUUAAUGAUUCAUGUGAGAAAUAGAUCAUCAUGCCACUUGAGAAUUAUUUUCCUUUUAGCAUGAUGUUGUAAAUUUUAGAUUAGUUUGCUAUUUAUUUUUUAUUUUCUCUCCUAUAUUGCUAAGGGACUAGCAAUAUGUCGGUUGGGGGGAGUGAUUACUACUCAAAAAGUGCUAUUUGAUAGCCUUUAAUUAAUCCUUUUUAACACUUUUGAGUAGUAGUUUAGGCCUUUUAACUCAAUUGGCAUGUUAAGGAUCCUUUAAAGCAAUUUUGAUCACUUUGUGCAAGUUUUGGUGUUUUUGUUAGUAUUUUGAUCACCAAAGCAAGUCAAGAAUGAGGAGAACUAUGAGGAAUCAUGGGCAAAGCUUAGAAUUCAAUUGCCAAGAGUGAAUCCGGAUUGCAAGGAGAAAAAGCAAAGAGAAUCUGUCAUGAAGCCUAUUCUUGAUGACAGUCGUAGCAGCCACUUUUGGAGCACUUUCUGAAGUCCAAAUGAUGCAAGCUAUAUACCAUUUCAAAGCUCAGGAAGUCAACAAUCCAAUGCUUCAAACGGUGCGCGAUUCGGAGUUGAAACGAAGAAGUUGCAGCCAUUACAAGCCAGUCACUCUAAAGUGUUGCGGAAUCAGCCUUUUGUUGCGAGAAUUUCGCAGCACUUUUGUACAGUAAGGUGUUUCUCCUUCUGACGAUGCACGAACCAUGCCGCGAGAGGGAAGCUAGGAACUUCAAGAUGGAAGCCAACUUUGCAGCCUGGUGAAGAUAGCUUGGUCUUGCGAAAUAAUUUCGCAGCCCUCUUGGGUGUCUGCGAAAUUUCGCAGGCACCACUUUUUUCCUGCGAAAUGGCUCCGGAAGCCUCCCGAAGCUUGCUACCGACAUUGGGAGAUAUUUUCCAUUAGAUUUUUGUUGUCUAAAUUCCAAAAUACUCCUUGUAAACCACCAAUUACAUGAUUCCUUAGUUUUUAAGUUAGUAAAAAGACCAAAUAUCUAUGUAAUAAUUAGUUUUAUAUUAGUUUGCUAUAAAUACCUCUCGGGAGCAUGUUCUCAGAGAGGAGUUCCUUCUGUAACCAUUUUGGUAAGCAAGUAAAGUCUUUUCUUUCUACUGCCUUACCUUCUCACUUUGUAUUUUCAUUUUAUUUCUAAGUUAUGAAUUCUCUGAGGAGCUUUCCCCAGAGAAUGAGUAACUAAACCUCCAAUUCCUUGGAGCUAAGGUUGCCGGGGAAGGUUCCAAGUGCAAGAAUGCAAAGCUCUGUGGUUUUAGCUAGUAAUGAAGAGGAAGUGAAAUCCUUUAGUGAUUUCAAUGUUUUUAGUUAACUUAAAACACCUUGGAGUCACCUGGGCCAACACUUGGUAAGGCAAGUGAUUUCCAACCGUGGAAAUGCACUAGUUUACCCCUUGCGAGCCUCUGGUAGGUGACUUCAAGGUAGGAUUUUCUGGAAUUACCAACACUUGGUAAGCUUUUGGACUCCUAGGAGACAUCCAUUAGUUAUCUCUUGCGAGUUUGUGAAGGGGAAUCCAAGGUUAAAGAUCACCUUGAAUGGUAAGUGCUCGUGAGAGGCAUGAACCAUUGCAAGUUGUAUCAGUGAGAGAAUUAAAGUGAAAUCUAAUUGAAGGAGUCUCUGUACAUCACCGGUUAGAGAAUUGACUAUAAGUUGAAUCUCUAAUGCGAGGAAAUGAACCAUCUGACCGGAGCUAUGUCUUUUGCAUGAGGAACCACCCCAGUGAACCUAAAUCUCCAAGGAAUGCUUUUCUUCCUAAAUUAUUCCAAACUUCUGUUAAGUUAGUUAGUUUAAGUCUAAACCUUUACCAAUCAAACUUUGUGUUUUAUUCCUUAAGCUAACCGUGAAAUGAAACAAAACCAAUUCACUUGGAAUUGGUAUCCUUGAUUGCUUGCAAAUCAUUCCCAGUGAACGAUCCUUAGAGCCACUAUACUAUAGUAGCUUUGUAUUUGCUACCCUAGUGUAUGGUGUUAUAGGUAUAAAUUUUGUUGAUCACUUCCUCAAUCAAGGAACACCAGCUGAACACAAAUCAGCUGAGACACCAAUUGGGCAUGAGUCAGUGCGUUAGAGGAUCAAGAAGAAGAAAAAGAAGGAACUGUUGGAAUUAGUAUGAGUGUGAAGAGAAAAGUAUAUAAAUAAGGGGAAGUAAAAGCAAAGUUCAAAAAGCUAUAUUUUUUUAUUGUUGGUGUAUGGUUGCAUGAUUAUCCCUAUAAAUAAUAGGAGUUUUUUGGUAUUCUACUAGUAGUUGAAGCAUAAUUUCAUAAAUUAAUAUUUAGAGCGGGGUGGGGUGAGUUGUGACAAAAUUCAUACCCGUCCCAAACCUUGGUUCAGAUUUUUAAAAUAUUCUCAAACUUAUCAUAUACCCAACUUUUAUAUUUCAUACUUGUCCUAAUAGAGGCACGUUAGGCCGGGUUACUUGAGUAACCUACAUAAUUGUCAUCCCUAGUUGAAAUACACUUUUUGGCAGUGGCCACCAACUGAGCUAGAAGCUUGAUUGAUUGACCUACAAGAUUAGUUCUCAUCAUUUUAAAAAAAGUUCUGGCUUUGGUUGUGAGUGCAAUUGAAUCUAAACUGGCAUUUGCUUAAUGCAUCUACUUCAAUCCUAAACUUCUUACUUCUUAAGCCUCAAUUGUUGUUAGGAUUUUGGAAAACCCAUUUCCUUAAAUUGUAAAUUUAAGAUAAAAUAAAAUAAAAGUGAGACAUUUCUUGAUUGAAUAUUGUUAAAGGUCCCUUGGCAUUAAGACUUGGUUGAAGCCUUGGAAGAUUAGUGGAACUCUCAACAUGUGUUUGAAUCUUGAGGAGAGUGGAUGUAAGCCAAAAUUUUGUCAAACCAUUAUACAAAUUGAGUUUGAAUCCUCAUUUCUUGAUUUCUUAUUUAUUUGCUUUUUCUUAUUAUUACUUGAAUUGUCAUUUGCAUUCAUUAAUGUUAAAAUUGGUUAUAAUUAACCAACACUAAUUCUCUUUCCCCUUCCCUUUCUUGGGUGUAAACCUAGGUUGGAUUAACUAGAUAAAUCUAUUAAGAUGGUAAAAGAAUAAUUAUUCUUAACAUACAUAAGAUCAUCUUCAAUCAAAUGACUCAUUGGCUAAUAUGUUGAAUUUGCUUAUUACUUGCAACUCAAAAUUGUGUUCUAGUUGUGUCAAGUCCCCAGUGUAUGGACAUUAAAUUUGUAGUACGUGAUGAGUAAUUAGAUGGUCCAACUCCAAGAAAGUGAUUGAAAAGUAGUUCAAGAAAGGUGCAAAAGGGAAUUGUUUUGGUAUUUUCGUUUUUAUUCUUGAAGGUGGCAGAGCUAAAAUUUGAGAAAUCAAGCAAAACAUACUGAAAUUACAUUGAAAGAAAGAAGAUGGGAGUUAAUGUCUUGCAGUACAUGAUAAGGACUUCAUGCAUGUAGUGUGACCCAUGUCUUGGACUGAUGCCAACUCACGGUUACACUUAUACCCUUGGUUCUCUCUUUACUACCUUGGCUAACCUAGAUCAGGCUAUGAGAUAGGCUCCUCACCACACCAUUACUUGCCCAUUAAUUAGAGACAUUUUCAAGCAAUGAGGUAACAUGGUGACACCAAGAGGGUCUAUUCCUCGCCCGGAACAAGUCUAGACUUGGUCUCAAAAAAAUGGAGAAAAAUGAGGUGUCGUUAUGUAGAAAUACAACAACCAUGCCUUCCUCAUUACUUAGAUUCAGAAUGUGAAGGUGAAAUUGAGAAACAGAAACUCUUGAAACCAAAAUGAAAAUUGAUACUUUUACGAAGAAUUACAACAACAUUAGAGGAAGACUACAUUCUUCCUCUUUAUUCCUACAUUUCUACACUACUUCUACUCCACUCCAUAUUUCUACAUACAUCUUUAAUCAGUCUUCCCUCCUUUAUAUAGAGCCAUCUUCACACAAAUUUCGCAAGGUAGAAAAGAGGAAUGAAACUUGGAGCAAGGUUCGACUACUGGUUGUAGCUUGUCAAGGCUGGAAGUGAACUUUUCUUGGCUUUCUGGGCAUGGGUAGUAACUUGUGGGUUCCUGUUUGGCAUAAAAAUGGCUAGAACAUGUGGCACUAUCUUGUUGGAUGAUGUGUCAAGCAUGUGGCAGCCAUCUAGUGGCGAUUAUGUCAAUUUUGGGAUGGAGAGUUGGCAUCCAAUUGCAAAGAAAUAUGACGUCUACCAACAUGCAAUGUAAACCUAUGUAGAUCAUAUGAAGAUAGAGAGGAAAAAUAUAGAAAUGGAUAUAUACCUAGAACUAGCUUUUUAUUAAAUGAAACGGAGAGACAACAAUGAAGGAAAAUAAAAUUUUUUGGCUUAUAUCAAAGAGUUCACAUUGUGUUACCCUAGGUUUUCUUAAAACUUACUUUUAUGAUAACAAAAAAGAAAAAACCAUUAUUGUUUAAUCCUUUGUUUUAAACGCAUGUAAGGUGUAAUUAAGUUAGUUCAAUGCAUUAAUUUAAGAAACUUGACCUAUCAAAAGUACAAAAUUAGAUGAAAUCCAUUUCAAUGGUUAAAAUGAUCAAAAUCAAACUUUUUCUAAGUAUUUUUUAAAAGCAUCAAUAGUGAAAGACAAUUUUAUAUUUAGUCGGAGUUUGGACAAAACUGAAAAACACACAAAAUCCAAGCGACCAUCUCUAGCUUGGAUGGUCGCUUGAUCCCACCUAGAGAUGUGCAUGAGUAAAAGGAUUUGAAAAUGGAAAUUGACUAUGUAGUCGAUCAAUUAACUUUGCAACAUCAUAUGCAAUCCUAAUUGCUAGUCAUCUAAUCAAUUAGGUAGUCAAUCAACAGGCCAAAAAUAUGUUUAUAAUGACUAUUUUGUACAAAAACCACCUGUAUAGUUAAAUAUAAUGCAUUUCAUUUAUAAAUCUUCUAAUUCUUGAAUAACGAUCCUAUCAUCCUUUGAAAGUUUUUAUUACACUUUUUUUACUUUUGUUCUAAAACUUACACAUCACCCUUAAUUGUACCAUGAGAACCUAGCUAUUUUUUAUUUUUUUUUUUGUAAUUCAUCAAAGUUAGCUUUUGUAUUCAUUGUUGUAUUAUUUUUAGUAUAACUUAGAAAGCUAGUGUUUUCAAGUGAGUAAAAUUAACUUGUAAAUAUUGUAAAGAUUCAUCGACAUGUAUCUUAAACUAAGUGUACAAGUUAAAACAUUUGCUAGUAGAUUUUCUCAAAAUUUAGAAUAGAGCUUGAGACUAUUGAAAUAGGUGGGGUUGCACCAAACCACAUCACAUCGUUGUUUGCACCUUUUUUCACUCUCUUUUACUUAGUUGCUCUAUAUUUGUUGUCUAGUAAUAUCCUAUAGGCUUGAUGGGUUAGGGAGCAUCCCUUUGUGAAAAAAUUUUAUUCAAUCCUUAGUUGUAUCACGCAUAUAUAAAAUGCCUCAUUGUUUUAAUGGUAUUCAGUCGUGGCAUCACAGAUAUGGGCAUCUAAAUUUUAAAAGUUUGAAACUUUUAUCUAAAGAAAAUAUGGUGCUUUGCCUUUUUGUAAAGCAUGUUGAUGAAAUCCAUGAGAAUUGUGUACUUGGGAAGCAACACCGAGAUGACUUUUUUUUUUUUUUUAUAAUAUUGUUUGUCCAAAUUCCCUACAAAUUAGGCCACCAGAUGUUCAUAAUUCUCCCUUCUUGAAUUUGAAAACUCGGACAAUUGGACAAUGCGACACCUAAGUCCGGUUUCUAAAUGCUAAAGUGAAAGGGUAGGUAUGGACCAUUGAAAUGUGAUCACAACUUUUCUCUGUAGCCAUGUUGUCUCUUUUUUCUUUUGCAUGAUUUUCUUACCUUAACAGAAUCAUAGACUUGUUUAGUCUCUAAAUGGGAUUAAUUUCAUCCAGCUUUAAGCUACUAUAUUAUAUCUAGGUGGAGGACUUUUAAGAGUGCAACCGACAUAGAGCACAUGGAAGUGGGUAUAUGGGACAUGAAAUUUCUUCUUAUAAAGAUUGCAUGAUUUUUAUAUUAGAGUUGUUGAGGCGCUAUGUAUUUAGCUUGUUUUGCAGUUAAAUUAAUUGGAUAAGUAGACAUUGGCGUUUCUAAAUCUACUGUGAAGUGCUUCAUGUACGUGUGAAGUAUUAGAAAUUUCUUUCUUGGCAACUUGUUUUUCUUUGCGGUCUACUGAUAGGUUUGACUAAAAUUAUAUUCCCUGUCAUGCUAAUUAAUUUUCACGUGCAUGCUCAAAAGAAAAGUAUGACCUUAGUGCACCAAAAUCACUUUGAUUAAUUUGUGAUAGGUUUUUGUGCAUCAUGACAUUAGCCUUAUUCAUUUAGAUAAUGUUUAGUUUUUAGAAAGUAUUAAGAAAAGGAAAAUAAAUAUUAAGAAAAAUAUUCUUAUAUUUGAUUGUAUUAUGAAAAAUAUCAUAAAAAAAUCAAAUAUAAUUUAAAUUAAUUAAUAAUUUAUACAUUUUCAAAUUAUUUAAUCUUUAUAUUGAAGAUAUAAUAUAAAUGAAAUGAGUUUUAAGUAUUAUAUAAAAGUGAUUUAUUGAUCUUACAUAUAUAUAUUUCUUUUUUUUUUCCUUCUAUUUUUUCUCUUUAUUUUAUUUUCCUUAUGUUUUCCUCAACAUUUUCCGGAACCAAACAUAGCCUUAGGAAAUCCACAAUUACCUUCAACUGAGUAGAUUCUGUUGUUUUAGCAAUGUUAGGCUGCUAACUUGUGUUGGUACGAACCUAUUAAGCCUAAAGAUGUAAUUAGUUAGGAUAUUCUUUUCCCUCUAGUCUUGUAGCUCCACGUGUACAGUUGGUUAGGACCUCAUUGUAUAUAAUGCUUGCCCUGUUAUUGUAGAAGACAACAAAGAUAAAUAAUAUUAACAUUUUUCCUCUCAUCUCUCUCUGUUUCCCUCUGUUUUCAUCUCCUCUCUCAUCUUGGUAUCAGAGCCUCCAUGGCUUCUUUCAAAGAAACCUCCGAAUCACCUUCUGCUAGCAUUGUUAAUGUGCAAAACCCAUUAUCUCAAUCAAACAACCUUCCUUCACCAGUAGCCACACCCUCUUUUUCUUUCUCGUCUAUGAAUCAACCUCUCACAGUGAAGCUGGAUAAUGGGAACUACCUCAUAUGGAAGAAUUAGCUUCUAAAUGUCAUCAUUGCUAACGGACUCGAUGAUUUCAUUGACGGAUCUCGACCCUGCCCUCCUCGAUUUCUCGAUCUGCAACAACAAACCCUCAAUCCAGAGUACUCAGCUUGGCAGAGAUACAAUCGACUUCUGAUGAGUUGGCUGUACGCAUCCUUGUCCAAAGAUAUAAUGGCUCAGAUUGUUGGGUAUUCAACAGCUAUGGAGAUUUGGAAUGCCCUUAAUCAGAUUUACUCUGCCUCUUCUAUGGCGCGGUUUACUGAGCUUCGCACCAAGCUUCAAACGCUCAAGAAAGAUGGACUCUCAGUUGGUGAAUAUAUUCAAAGGCUCAAAUCCAUUUGCAAUAGUCUUGCAGCAAUAGGAGAACCAGUUUCUGAGAAAGACCAUCUUAUCUAUUUGUUCAAUGGAUUAGAUUGUGAGUAUUAUUCUUUUGUUACCUCCAUUCAAAAUCGAUCUGACCAACCAACUAUUGACAAAAUCCAUAGCCUAUUGCUUAGCUAUGACUUCCGGCUUGAACAACAAAACUCUGUUUCUCUCCAUUCUGCCCAAGUCCAUAUGGCUCAUCUGAACAAGAAACCUUAUAAAUCAACUCCUCAACCUACAUUCAAUCAUAUUCACAUUCAACCUAGAUACUCUUCUCCACCUUUUAAGCCAACCACUAGUCAAUAUCAACCCAACAUUUUGGGCAAACCACAACCACAACCAUGACAGCCUCAACCUCAAUGGAAACCACAUUUUUCAAUCUAAAAUCAAAAGCCUCAGCGCCAAAUUUGUGGUAAAUUUGGACACACUGCUCUUAUUUGCUUCCAUCACACAAAUUUGAACUAUUCACCCCAACCUUCUCCUAAAUCUUUCAAUACUGUUCUCACCACAAAUUCCCAGCUCCCUAAUCCUCCAAAAUUUUCUUACCCUACAAUGGCUCAUCCUGCUGCUACGCAUAACACGGUUCCCGAUACAAAUUGGUACAUGGACUCAGGUGCUACACAUCACUUUACUCUGGACAUCAACGUGCUUGACACUGUGACACCAUUUAGUGGUUCAGAACAGGUGACAGUUGGGAAUGGUAAGCAACUCUGUAUCUCACAUCUUGGUACUGCAAAACUACCAUCUUCGUAUUCUCCUCCUGUUCUACAUCAGGUAUAUCACACUCCAAAAAUUUCAAAUAAUCUUAUUAGUGUUAAAAAAUUGUGUUCUGAUAAUAAAGUUUUUGUUGAAUUUUAUGCCACUCAUUUUCUUGUCAAGGAUCAGGUUUCGAAGAGAGUUCUCCUUUAGGGUCAACUUGAUAAUGGCUUAUACAAAGUUCAGUCGUCAUGCUCUCCUUCUGCUGUUUCCUUUCCUCCUCAAGUUUUCAUAGCCAACAUCAAGUAUCCAAAUCUGUGGCACAAGAGACUAGGCCACCCAGCUUUAUCUGUUGUUAAUCAAAUCUUGGAUUCUUGUAACAUUGCUCGAACACAGAAAAUUUGUUUUAAUUUUUUAAAUUCUUGUCAAUUAGCAAAGAGCCACAGGCUUCCUUUUUCUCUGUCUCCAUCCAUUGCAGAAAAACCUUUUGAGUUAAUUCAUACAGACCUAUGGGGUCUUUCGCUCGUUCGCUCUAUUUCUGGUGCUCUUUAUUUUUUACUUUUCAUUGAUGAUCAUACUCGUUUUACUUGGUUUUAUUUGCUCAAAACAAAAGAUGAAGCAUAUCCUACUUUUCUCAAGUUUCAAGCUCUCAUUGAAAAUCAAUUUAAUACCAAGAUUAAGGCUGUCCAAUCUGAUUGGGGAGGUGAGUUUCGAUCUCUCUCCAUACCGUUUUCAAAUAUGGGCAUUGUCUAUUGUUUAUCGUGUCCAUACACCUCACAACAGAAUGGGCGAGUUGAGCGAAAAAAUCGCCAUGCGAUUGUCCUUUCUUGCUUGCUCUAUGCCCUUAUCUUAUUGGCCUUAUGCCUUUCAAACUGCCACUUACCUUAUUAAUCGUCUCUCUACCCCUGUGCUGCAUCAUCAAUCCUCUUACUUCGCACUCUAUCACAAACUCCCAACUUAUACUCAUCUUAAGGUCUUUGGUUCCUCUUGUUUUCCGUAUUUGCACCCUUAUAAUACCCAUAAACUCCAAUACAGGUCACUAGAGUGUGCUUUUCUUGGUUACAGUUCACACCACAAAGGUUAUCUAUGUCUUGACAUUCAUUCUAGCAGGGUGUAUAUUUCUCGCCAUGUGAUUUUUAAUGAAGAUUCUUUUCCAUUCAAGAAUUUGAAAUCUUCUCUCUCUCAGUCUAUUUCUUCUUCCUCUUCUUUAUAAGUUCCUCUGUUCAUUCUCUUGCCUCCCCUUUCCCCAUCUCCUCUUAUUUCUUCAUCUAUACCUCAUUCUUUUCCCUCUUCUUCUUCUACCUCUAGUACUUGUUCCCCUCUCGUUGCUCCUACCUCUCUUCCUUCCUCUUCACACUCUGUGUCUCCAUCUAUUCCACCUCCUUCUCCACCUUCUCCGAGUGUGGACCUGCUUGCACCUUGUGUGAAUACAAAUUUACAUACUUCUUCUCGCACUCACAAUAUUCAUCCUAUGGUGACUAGAUCUAAGGUUUGUAUCUAUAAACCUAAGUUGUUGUUGAGUGUCUCCAUAGGUUCUCUCACUAAGCCUACUUCCUUUCUUCAAGCUAUUAAAGAUCCUUCAUGGAAGCAAUCCAUGGAAUUCGAGUUUGCUACCCUUCAACACAACAAGACCUGGCAUUUGGUUCCUUCACCUUCCUCAGGCGAAGUAAUCGGUUGUAAAUGGGUCUAUAAGCUAAAGCUUCAGCCUGAUGGCUAAAUUGAGAGAUACAGCCUGCUUAGUAGCUAAGGGUAUCAUCAAAUUGAAGUAUGGACUACUUCGAAACAUUCAGCCUGAUNNNNNNNNNNNNNNNNNNNNNNNNNNNNNNNNNNNNNNNNNNNNNNNNNNNNNNNNNNNNNNNNNNNNNNNNNNNNNNNNNNNNNNNNNNNNNNNNNNNNAGCUUCAGCCUGAUGGCUAAAUUGAGAGAUACAAGGCCUGCUUAGUAGCUAAGGGUUAUCAUCAAAUUGAAGGUAUUGACUACUUCGAAACAUUCAGCCUGAUUGUCAAGCUUUCUACUAUCUGUAUUGUGCUCAGUCUUACUUUUUCCCAGAAUUGGUGUAUUAGACAGCUGGAUGUUCAUAAUGCCUUCUUACAUGGUGACUUAGCUAAAGACGUUUUCAUGGAACAACUGCCUGGAUUUGUUGAUCCUCUCUAUCCUACUCAUGUCUGCAAGUUGGAUAAGUCUCUCUACUGUCUUAAAUAGUCACCUCGGGCUUGGUAUACUAAGCUGAGUACUUCUCGCUACACUUGGGAUUUGUUACUUCUAAGAAUGACUCUUCCUUAUUUAUUUGUCAUUCGUCUCAUGGGUUACUUCUUGUUCUUGUCUAUGUGGAUGAUAUAAUCGUCAUUGGGAGCCACUCUCCUCAGGUUACUCACCUUAUCCAACAGUUGCAUCAUUAGCUUUCUUUAAAGGAUCUUGGUCCUUUACAUUAUUUUCUGGGCUUGGAGGUUCAUCACACCCCUACUGGUAUUCACCUCAGCCAAGCAAAGUAUAUCACUGAUCUCCUUACCCGGGCGGCUAUGUUGGAUGCCAAGCCAUGUCCCACUCCUAUGUCCUCCAACACAUAUCUCUCUUUUCAUGAUGGAGUGGCUCUUGAAAAUGGUUCAGAUUAUCGAAGUUUUGUUGGUGCCCUUUAGUAUUGUACCAUGACACGCCCAGAUAUAGCUUUUGCAAUAAAUAAAGUGUGUCAAUUCAUGCACCAUCCCUCUAAUGUUCACUGGCAGGCUAUAAAACGUAUUCUCCGGUACUUAAAGGGCACAUCUCAUUUUGGUCUCUUCCUACAGCCUUCCUAUGACUUCAACAUCACUUGCUAUACAAAUGCCGACUGGGCUUCCUGUCCUGAUGACAAGUGUAGCACCAGUGGCUACUGCCUCUUUCUUGCCUCUAAUCUGGUUUCUUGGUCAUCUUCCAAACAAAAAGUGGUCUCCCGCUCCAGCGCCGAAUCAGAGUACCGAGGGGUAGCAAAUGGGGCUGCUGAAAUUGCUUGGACUGAAUCUCUUCUUUGUGAACUUUCCAUUACUCCCCCUCCCCUCAUUCUCUGUGACAAUAUCAGUGCCACGUACUUAGCUGCCAAUCCUAUUUUGCAUGCCCGCACCAAACAUGUGGAAAUCGACUAUCACUUUGUCACGGAACGUGUUCUUCAAUGCUCUCUUUUUGUCCAGUUUACACCUUCUGAUGAUCAACUUGCUGAUUGCAUGACCAAGCCUCUCUCCACCCAACGUUUCAUCACUCUACGCUCCAAGCUCACUGUUCUCACUAGACCAAUGAGCUUGAGGGGGGAUGUUAAGCCUAAAGAUGUAAUUAGUUAGGAUAUUCUUUUCCCUCUAGUCUUGUAGCUCCACGUGUACAGUUGGUUAGGACCUCAUUGUAUAUAAUGCCUGCCCUGUUAUUGUAGAAGACAACAGAGAUAAAUAAUAUUAACAUUUUUCCUCUCAUCUCUCUCUCUGUUUCCCUCUGUUUUCAUCUCCUCUCUCAUCUGAACCAAAUGAUCCAUGUUAACCUUGGCUUGGUUUGAUUUGGCUCUAUCUUAGAGAGCUCAAGGAUCACGUCAACUCUGGUUUCUACUAUUCAGGUCCAUUCCCAUAUGAACUGGUUCAAAUUUGAGAAAAUGGUAACAGACCUUUAGUGAUGUUGGUUUGGAGCCAGUUGCCAAACCCGCCCUGAGCUUUACCACUAAUGUCAAGGGAGAAAGCCAUUUGAACAAAAACAAUAGCUUCAAGGGACUGAAUCGUGGAUGAAAUCUGAUCCACAUUUCUUCUCAUUUUGGAAACAAAUGAGAACUUAACUAAGAAGAUUCUACGGCCUCAUAGUGCUUUUCCUGAUCUAAGGUUGGUUCGUUUCCCAAACUGUGAGAUGCACGUGCCAGACUUCAGAACUCUCACGCUCAGGAGUGUAUCCACGUGGUGGACAUAAGAUGGUGGCUUAAGAUCUGGUGUCGGUGGCUUUACUUUACUAGGAGAGUAGUGUGUCUUCAUCUCAUUCACUGCCGGAGGGUGGCGUAAGCAGUGACGCUAAGGUGGGGCACAGUCAAUAUCAUUUGCAUUUGACCAUUAUAGUUUUCUCCCGGCUUUAAAGUAACCUUAUCGUGAUAAAGGAUUACUAGCACUAGUUCAGAUGAUAGUCAUGUUAAAUUCGGACCAUGUUUGUGUCACAUUAUCAGCAACCAUGUGUUUAUGGUUCAUGCUUUCUGCAACUAAAAUUGAUAUAUAACCAGGUGAACUUCAAUCUAAAUUCUGAAAGUACUCAUGUGAUAGAUGGUGCCCGUCUGCAGAGUCCAUCAAUUGAAAAAUGGAGUGAGUGUAUCUAUAAGAGGGAAGGCUUGGAAAAUGUUCAGUUUUCUGGGAAUUCAACAAGGAUCUAAAAUAGAUUGUUUUCUUUGCUGAUUUCAAUGGUUGAAAUUUGAGAAGAUUGUGUCCACAUAACACAACUAUUACUGGUCCUUCUGUUGCAAUUUAUCCUCUAAAGCUCUAGCAUGUCUUCCAAUUCCCACUUCCCUGUUACUCCAGGAAAGCUAUUUCUGUCAUUGUGAAGAAGAAAAGAGAAUGUACAUAUCGAUGCUUUUAAGUGACUGGAGCAUUUAUAUCAGGUGGUCUGCAGCCAUAUAUGCCACUUUGUGAAGAUUGGAACAGUCAAUCACUAGGCUAUAUAUUAGUGUGGCCCAGCCACUUUAAUCAAGGACAAGUCUUCAUACUUAAAGUCAAAUUCUGCCUUUAGUCUCAUUAUAAAUUUCUGUUUAAAUAUUAAGCAAACAUUUGUUUAAUGCGAUUAAGACAGUACUAACUCAAUACCUGUUCUAUUUUUGGAUGCAAAUGCUUGAUGGUUUCAUCAUUGGAUGGGAUAAAGGUGCAUUCAUGAUUAGGAAUACUAGUAGUUAUAUUUUAAUUCUCUUUUUUCUCAAUGAGACUUGUUGGCACAAUUUUGCUGUUGAGAAACCUACCUCUCCAUGGAAAAUAAGUUGUGAUUGAUAGUACUGGAUAUAUUCAAGAAAUCUAAAUAUAGAUAGCACAAAAUAUUAUCGACAUAAAUAGCAUUAACAGCGUACGUAUGUCUCAGUGCUCAUCAGCUAUAAGCAUGGGGCAAACACUUACUAUGAGCAACUUACGUCAAAAUUCCAGAAUAGGACAUAGAAGUGACAGAUAUAGAACAUUGCAUAUGAGUCACAAGAAAGGAAAUUACGGGUGCAUAGCAGCUCUUAUUUUACAUACUACUACUCAUACUGAUCAAAGUCACUCAGUUGGGAUGGGUGGGAGUAGGAGGUUUGUGGGGUGGCUUGUGCGGAGGAGUUGGCAGCUUCUUUCCAGGACCUGGUUGCUUCUCUGCUGGAGUUGAAGGAGGCUUAAUCUUCCGAGGUGGCUUGUAUGAGUCUUCAGCAUUCUCAGCUGGAGGGUGACCAGGGUUGUGACCAUAAUGUGGUGGCUUCUCUCCCUUAGGUGGUUUGCCAACUGGGGUUGGUGGCUUGUAUGAGUCUUCAGCAUUCUCAGCAGGAGGGUGACCAGGGUUGUGACCAUAAUGUGGUGGCUUCUCUCCCUUAGGUGGUUUGCCAACUGGGGUUGGUGGCUUGUGUUCUGGGAGUGGCUUCUCCCCCUUGGGAGGUUUUUCCAAUGGGGUUGGUUUGUGUUCAGGAGGUGGCUUCUCCACUGGAGGCUUGUGUUCAGGAGGUGGCUUCUCCACCGGAGGCUUGUGUUCAGGUGGUGGCUUCUCCACCGGAGGCUUAUGCUCUGGUGGUGGCUUCUCGAAUGGGGGAUGCUUAGGAUAAUCAGCAAGUGAGGGGGCGGUGAGAACCACCAGGCCAAGCAACACCACUAGCAAAUAUGUAGGAGACAUCUUUGGGUUUGGGCUCAGAUGGUGCAAAACUAGGAGAAUUGGCUAGCCUUUUAUAGCGGAUCGUACCCAAUAAUGAAAUGACACGUGUCAUUAUGACCCAUGUGUAAUGGGGUCGAUUUGGGUCCUACAGUGUUGAAAACUUCGACAUCCACUUUUGGCCUUUUGCUUUCUCUACAGCCGCCUUGCUUUUUCCCUCUUUCCUUUUGUUUUCCUCCUGCCCCAUUCUAUCAACUAAACACAAUUAUGUAGUUGUUUAAUUCUUAAAUGAGAUAUUAUCCGUCAAUCGUAUUAUAUUUUAUCAAGAGAGAACGGAGUGCAAUGUGGCUGUAAUUUUAUCGUUUAGUUUUAUCUCUUGGACCACUGCAUUUUUGUUAAGAGGUGCAAUAAUACACGUCUUUAUCUGCCAUUCAAUAUUUACAGUAAAGAGAGGGCACAAAACUCUUCACUUCGCACCAUAAUUAUUUUGUUUUCUGGACACCCCGGGGCCCUUUGGUUGGUUUGGGGGUCAGAAAGUGAACAUCAUAGGGGGUUUUUCCCUUAUGUGCAUUUGUAUCUGAUGGCUUUAACUCGCCUUGUUACUACAAAGAAACUGUCACAGAUAGGAACUUAUUCCAGGCUGAGUAUCUCCUCAUAGACCCUAUAAAAGAAGACAAGUCAUAAUGAACAUCUAACCUUUGUUCAAUUUGAUUCAAUGCCCCCAUUGUGUCCAUCUCACAAAUCUGAAUUAUUAUAUCCAUUGAAUACAUAAAUUAAUGAAGAAAAUAUGAAACCCAAGAUACAUCUCUGCACAACCUCAACCCUGGUUGCUAUGUUUCCCUUCUAUUCACAUGAUUUGAUGCUAAUUGCCAAACUUGCAACAAGCCCUGAGUUUGACACCUAGUAUCGAUGGGCGAAUUUAAAGUCUCCUCCAAACAUAUAUUCCACAGCUUGAAGCUCACAGAAGAUGUUACAGGCAGGGAAAAACCUUCAGAGUUCGCUACCAAAGAUAAUUAUUAAGGAGAUAUCACAAAGAGAAUUCCAAGGGGUCUGAAUCAAAGACAAAUUGGUCGUUCGUGGGGGUUCUUACUUUCUUUUGGGUAUAACUCACUGAGGGCACUGUCUUUGUUAUUUGCAUUUCACAUUUAGAGUUCUGUUCUGGAAACAUAUAAAAGGAGCAUCAUUUUGUUCUUGGGUAACCCAUAGUCGUGAGUGGGUCCAUUUGCAUGCUACUUAGUUGAAAAGUUGGACCAUUUGCUCCGACGCCUACCUCCCGGAUUCCAUGCUCGGAUAAAACAAGAAUAAAAAAAAUAUUUAUAAUUUACAAAUGGGGGAAAGAAAAAAAUGUCAACAACAAACCAGGAAAAAAGAGUAGUAAAAUUCAUGUCACAUGCUAGUGAGAGAAGGGGUUGUUACACUCACUCGAAGUUCUUUCCAAAAUAUCGCAUGGUAUUUUAUUUUAUGUGUCAGCGCAGUUGUGAAUGGAACGUGCAAAAGUCCAAAUUGGCGUUUUUCCUUUUCCCGUGUAGGAUGGCGACCUUUAAUAAAUAUUUAAAACAAAAAACGAAAAAAAGGAGGGAAAAGGGAUCAGAAAAGAUAAAACAAUGUGUACAAGAGCUCAAUUAGUUUGCAAAUUACUGUUUGGAUUUUGAUAGUAUUUUAUUUGUCCAUCUAUAUUUGAUGGAAAAGAGAAUUUAAGAUAUUUCUGAAACAAAAGCAUUAGUGUAAAACUAAAUUAAGGUAUAAUUAAGUUAGUUCAAUGCAUUAAUUUAAGAAACUUGAUCUAUCCAAAGUACAAAAUUAGAUGAAAUCCAUUUCAAUGGUUAAAAUGAUCAAAAUCAAACUUUUUCUAAGUAUUUUUUAAAAGCAUCAAUAUUAAAAGACAAUUUUAUAUUUAGUCGGAGUUUGGACAAAACCAAAAAGCACACAAAAUCCAAGCGACCAUCUCUAGCUUGGAUAGUCACUUGAUCCCACCUAGAGAUGUGCAUGAGUAAAAGGAUUUGAAAAUGGAAAUUGACUAAAUAUUUAGUUGAUCAAUUAAAUUUGCAAUGUCAUAUGCAAUCCUAAUAGCUAGUCAUCUAAUCAAUUAGGUAGUCAAUCAAGUGUUUGUAAUGACUAUUUUGUACAAAAAACCACAUGUAUAGUUAAAUAUAAUGCAUUUCAUUUAUAAAUCUUCUAAUUCUUGAAUAACGAUCCUAUCAUCCUUUGAAAAUUUUUAUUACACCUUUUUUACUUUUGUUCUAAAACUUACAUAUCACCCUUAAUUGUACCAUGAGAACCUAGCUAUUUUUUUUUUUUUUGUAAUUCAUCAAAGUUAGCUUUUGUAUUCAUUGUUGUAUUAUUUUUAGUAUAACUUAGAAAGCUAGUGUUUUCAAGUGAGUAAAAUUAACUUGUAAAUAUUGUAAAGAUUCAUUGAUAUGUAUCUUAAACUAAGUGUACAAAUUAAAACAUUUGCUAGUAGAUUUUCUCAAAAUUUAGAAUAGAGCUUGAGGCUAUUGAAAUAGGUGGGGUUACACCAAACCACAUCACAUCGUUGUUUGCACCUUUUUUCACUCUCUUUUACUUAGUUUCUCUAUAUUUGUUGUCUAGUAAUAUCCUAUAGGCUUGAUGGGUUAGGGAGCAUCCCUUUGUGAAAAAAUUUCAUUCAAUUCUUAGUUGUAUUACGCAUAUAUAAAAUGCCUCAUUGUUUUAAUGGUAUUCAGUCGUGGCAUCACAGAUAUGGGCAUCUAAAUUUUAAAAGUUUGAAACUUUUGUAAAGCAUGUUGAUAAAAUCCAUGAGAGUUGUGUACUUGGGAAGCAACAUCGAGGUGACUUUAUUUUUUUUUCCUUUUAUAAUGCCACACCUAAGUCCGGUUUCUAAAUGCUAAAGUGAAAGGGUAGGUAUGGACCAUUGAAAUGUGAUCACAACUUUUGGCCUUUUCCUUUCUCUGCAGCCAUGUUGUCUCUUUUUUCUUUUGCAUGAUUUUCUUACCAAAACAGAAUCAUAGACUUGUUUAGUCUCUAAGCUACUAUAUUAUAUCUCGGUGGACUUUUAAGAGUGCAACCGACAUAGAGCACAUGCAAGUGGGCAUAUGGGACAUGAAAUUUCUUCUUACAAAGAUUGCAUGAUUUUUAUAUUAGAGUUGUUCACGUGCAAUGUAUUUAGCUUGUUUUGCAGUUAAAUUAAUUGGAUAAGUAAACAUUGGCAUUUCUAAAUCGACUGUGAAGUGCUUCAUGUACGUGUAAAGUAUUAGAAAUUUCUUUCUUGGCAACUUGUUUUUUCCUUGCCAUCUACUGGUAGGUUUGACUAAAAUUAUAUUCCCUGUCAUGCUAAUUAAUUUUCAUGUGCAUGCUCAAAAGAAGAGUAUGACCUUAGUGCACCAAAAUCACUUUGAUUAAUUUGUGAUAGGUUUUUUUGCAUCAUUUAGAUAAUGUUUAGUUCUAAGAAAAAUUUAUAUAAAAAUGGUUUAUUUAUCUUACAUAUAUAUAUAUAUAUAUAUAUUUUUUUUUUUUUCAUUUUUUUUUCUUCUAUUUUAUUUAUUUAUUUUAUUUUCCUUAUGUUUUCCUCACAUUUUCCGGAACUAAACAUAGUCUUACGAAAUCAACAAUUGCCUUCAACUGAGUAGAUUCUGUUGUUUUAGCAAUGUUAGGCUGCUAACUUGUGGUGGUACGAACCAAAUGACCCAUGUUAAUCUUGGCUUGGUUUGAUUUGGCUCUAUCUCAGAGAGCUAAAGGAUCACGUCAACUCUGGUUUCUACUAUUCAGGUCCAUUCCCAGAUGAACUGGUUCAAAUUUGAGAAAAUGGUAACAGACCUUUAGUGAUGUUGGUUUGGAGCCAGUUGCCAAACCCGCCCUGAGCUUUACCACUAAUGUCAAGGGAGAAAGCCAUUUGAACAAAAACAAUAGCUUCAAGAGACUGAAUCGUGGAUGAAAUCUGAUCCACAUUUCUUCUCAUUUUGGGAAAAAAUGAGAACUUAACUACAAAGAUUCUACUGCCUCAUUCAUAGUGCUUUUCCUGAUCCAAGGUUGGUUCGUUUCCCAAAUUGUGAGGUGCACGUGCCACUCUCACGCUCAGGAGUGUAUCCACGUGGUGGACAUCAGAUGGUGGCUUAAUAUCUGGUGUCGGUGGCUUUACUUUACUAGGAGAGUAGUGUGUCUUCAUCUCAUUCACUGCCGGAGGGUGGCGUAAGCAGUGACGCUAAGGUGGGGCACAGUCAAUAUCAUUUGCAUUUGACCAUUAUAGUUUUCUCCCGGCUUGAAAGUAACCUUAUCGUGAUAAAGGAUUACUAGCACUAGUUCAGAUGACCGUCAUGUUAAUUCGGACCAUGUUUGUGUCACAUUAUCAGCAACCAUGUGUUUAUGGUUCAUGCUAUCUGCAACUAAACUUGAUAUAUAACCAGGUGAACUUCAAUCAAAAUUCUGGAAGUACUCUUGUGAUAGAUGGUGCCUGUCUGCAGAGUCCAUCAAUUGAAAAAUGGAGUGAGUGUAUCUAUAAGAGGGAAGGCUUGGCAAAUGUUCAGUUUUCUGGGAAUUCAACAAGGAUCUAAAAUAGAUUGUUUUCUUUGCCGACUUCAAUGGUUGAAAUUUGAGAAGAUUGUGUCCACAUAUCACAACUAUUACUGGUCCUUCUGUUGCAAUUUAUCCUGUAAGGCUCUAACAUGUCUUCCAAUUCCCACUUCCCUGUUACUCCAGGAAAGCUAUUUCUGUCAUUGUGAAGAAGAAAAGAGAAUGUACAUAUCGAUGCUUUUAAGUGACUGGAGCAUUCAUAUCAGGUGGUCUGCAGCCAUAUAUGCCACUUUGUGAAGGUUGGAACAGUCAAUCACUAGGCUAUAUAUUGGUGUGGCCCAGCCACUUCAAUCAAGGACAAGUCUUCAUACUUAAAGUCAAAUUCUGCCUUUAGUCUCAUUAUAAAUUGCUGUUUAAAUAUUAAGCAAACUUUUGUUUAAUGCGAUUAAGACAGUACUAACUCAAUACUUGUUCUAUUUUUGGAUGCAAAUGCUUGAUGGUUUCAUCAUUGGAUGGGAUAAAGGUGCAUUCAUGAUUAUGAAUACUUGUAGUUAUAUUUUCAUUCUCUUUUUUCUCAAUGAGACUUGUUGGCACAAUGUUGCUGUUCAGAAACCUACCUCUCCAUGGAAAAUAAGUUGCGAUUGAUAGUACUGGAUAUGUUCAAGAAAGCUAAAUAUAGAUAGCACAAAAUAUUAUCGAUAUAAAUAGCAUUAACAGCGUACGUAUGUCUCAAUGCUCAUCAGCUAUAAGCAUGGGACAAACACUUACUAUGAGCAACUUACGUCAAAAUUCCAGAAUAGGACAUAGAAGUGACAGAUCUAUAUAUAUAGAACACUGCAUAUGAGUCACAAGAAAGGAAAUUACGGGUGCAUAGCAGCUCUUAUUUUACAUACUACUACUCAUACUGAUCAAAGUCACUCAGUUGGGAUGGGUGGGAGUAGGAGGUUUGUGGGGUGGCUUGUGCGGAGGAGUUGGCAGCUUCUUUCCAGGACCUGGUUGCUUCUCUGCUGGAGUUGAAGGAGGCUUAAUCUUCCGAGGUGGCUUGUAUGAGUCUUCAGCAUUCUCAGCUGGAGGGUGACCAGGGUUGUGACCAUAAUGUGGUGGCUUCUCUCCCUUAGGUGGUUUGCCAACUGGGGUUGGUGGCUUGUAUGAGUCUUCAGCAUUCUCAGCAGGAGGGUGACCAGGGUUGUGACCAUAAUGUGGUGGCUUCUCUCCCUUAGGUGGUUUGCCAACUGGGGUUGGUGGCUUGUGUUCUGGGAGUGGCUUCUCCCCCUUGGGAGGUUUUUCCAAUGGGGUUGGUUUGUGUUCAGGAGGUGGCUUCUCCACUGGAGGCUUGUGUUCAGGAGGUGGCUUCUCCACCGGUGGCUUGUGUUCAGGAGGUGGCUUCUCCACCGGAGGCUUAUGCUCUGGUGGUGGCUUCUCCACCGGAGGCUUAUGCUCUGGUGGUGGCUUCUUGAAUGGGGGAUGCUGAGGGUAAUCAGCAAGUGAGGGGGCGGUGAGAACCACCAGGCCAAGCAACACCACUAGCAAAUAUGUAGGAGACAUCUUUGGGUUUGGGCUCAGAUGGUGCAAAACUAGGAGAAUUGGCUAGCCUUUUAUAGCGGAUCGUACUCAAUAAUGAAAUGACACGUGUCAUUAUGACCCAUGUGUAAUGGGGUCGAUUUGGGUCCUACAGUGUUGAAAACUUCGACAUCCAGUUUUGGCCUUUUGCUUUCUCUACAGCCGCCUUGCUUUUUCCCUCUUUCCUUUUGUUUUCCUCCUGCCCCAUUCUAUCAACUAAACACAAUUAUGUAGUUGUUUAAUUCUUAAAUGAGAUAUUAUCGGUCAAUCGUAUUAUAUUUUAUCAAGAGAGAACGGAGUGCAAUGCAGCUGUAAUUUUAUCGUUUACUUUUAUCUCUUGGACCACUGCAUUUUUGUUAAGAGGUGCAAUAAUACACGUCUUUAUCUGCCAUUCAAUGUUUACAGUAAAGAGAGGGCACAAAACUCUUCACUGCUCUGCAUGUGUCCCAAAAAUGCGAUUGGACAAAUUAUGAUUUGCAUGCUAAAAAGAGGCAAAUGAGGUUAAUUCGCACCAUAAUUAUUUGGUUUUCUGGACACCAUAAAAAGAUGUUAUACAGGCAGGGAAAAACCUUCAGAGUUAGCUACCAAAGAUAAUUAUCAAGCAGAUAUCACCAAGAGAAUUCCAUAGAGUCUGAAUCAAAGACAGAUUGCUCGCUCGUGGGGGUUCUUACUUUCUUUUGGGUAUAACUCACUGAGGUCACUGUCUUUUUUAUUUGCAUUUCACAGUUAGAGUUCUGCUCUGGAAGGUUUGUUCUGGAAACAUAUAAAAGGAGCAUCAUUUUGUUCUUGGGUAACCCAUAGUCGUGAGUGGGUCCAUUUGCAUGCUACUUAGUUGAAAAGUUGGACAAUUUGCUCCGACGCCUACCUCCUGGAUUCCAUGCUCGGUAAAACAAGAAUAAAAAAAAAUAUAUAAUUUACAAAUGGGGGAAAGAAAAAAUGUCGGAAAAAAUAGUAAAAUUCAUGUCACAUGCUAGUGAGAGAAGGGGUUGUUACACUCACUCGAAGUUCUUUUCAAAAUAUCGAAUGGUAUUUUACUUUAUGUGUCAGCGCAGUUGUGAAUGGAACGUGCAAAAGUCCAAAUUGGCGUUUUUAUUUUUCCCAUGUAGGAUGGUGACCUUUAAUAAAUAUUUAAAACAAAAGACGAAAAAAAAAAGGAGGGAAAAGGGAUCACAAAAGAUAAAAUAAUGUUUACAAAAGCUCAAUUAGUUUGCAAAUUACUGUUUGGAUUUUGAUAGUAUUUUAUUUGUCGUUCUAUAUUUGAUGUAAAAGAGAAUUUAAGAUAUUUCCGAAGCAAAAGCAUUAGUUUGCUCUGUGAUGUCCCACAUCGAAUAGGGGAGAAAGUUUCUGGCGCUAUAUAUGUAGAGGCUCCUCUUAACCAAGUAGAUGCGUUUUAAAACCAUGAGGGCCCCCUUAGGUCCAAAGCGGACAAUAUCUACAUGAUUGGGUGUAAGUCAUUACAAAUGGUAUCAGAGCCGAUCCCCGACCCCGGUGUGGGGGUUUGUUUGGCCCUGUAAGGGGUGUUUGUCUGUUUGACCCCACAAUCCCAUGGGACACAACGAGGACGUUGUGUCUGCAUGGGGGGGCGUUUGUGAUGUCCCACAUCGGAUAGGGGAGAAAGUUCCUAGUGCUAUAUAUGUAGAUGUUUCUCUUAACCAAGUAGAUGCAUUUUAAAAUUGUGAGGGCCUCUUUGGGCCCAAAGCGGACAAUAUCUACAUGGUUGAGUGUAAGUCAUUACAUGCUCCAUGUCAAUUUCAGCAUUUCUCAUAUGUUUCACACAUACACAGAAGAGCAUCGUUUUUUAAAGCAUGCAUUUAUGUUGGAUUAAUUUGGAUUUUGUGGGAACUGGGGCAAGGAUCACAUGGAAGAGAGGUUGACUUUUUUCAGUACUUCAAUGGUUGAAAUAUGUGAAGGCUUGAUUGAUACUAAAGCUUGAAAUUGCGACUCUGUCAUUUGUAAAAAAAUAUGACAGCUUCCAUGCUCUCGUUUGGUUGCAUUGUCCGGUCGAGAGGUGCAAAAAGCAUUCUCUCUCUUCUAAUAGUCUUUUCGUUUAAAUCAAGGGAUUUGCCUUCCCGGUCGAGGUCCAAUAGAGGGUAACGGUCACCUACUAAACAUUAAAUGCUCCAACAACUAGUGAACUGAUCGACCCCAGCUCGACUAGUUGAGGUUACUUUUUGGUUUUCUUGUCUCCCGAGGUUAGAAACCUAUAAAUAGAGAGCUUCACUUCAUUUAUGAGUAAGAGAACACCUAAAUUUAUUUGUUUACCUACUUGUUUUUGCCAUAAAAGCUCUCAUUUCUUUUCUUGGUGUAUUAAAUCUCCAUUUGCAUAUCCUUUAGUGCACCUUUGUGAUUCAUUCUAGCCUUGAGUUGUAUUUAAGCCUUUGUUGAGCUAGGUUGAGAGUUUCAUACUUGUUUAUUGAGUGUUAAAGCCUUCAAGUGAGUUAAAACUUGAAGAGAUUGUGUAAGAGCCCAUUGGAGUCGGAAUCCAAGUGUAAAGGUGAUUAAAAGCUUGGUUGAAGCUUCAAGUUAGUGGAACUCUCACUCGGUUAUGAGCUUGAGAAGAGUGGACAUAGACAAGGCAGUGUCGAACCACUAUAAAAUCUGAGUUUGAUUUCUCUAACCUUAUCUCUUUAUAUUUGCUUCUCUUGUGCUUAAAUUUUUUGUGUUUAAAAAGAAUUUUUAAAAACUCAAUUCACCCCCUUCUUGGGAGUUUUUCUCUUUUAAGAUCAGCUUUUAUUUUCUCAAUUGGUAUCAGAACUAUGCCUCUUGUUUAAGACUUAAUCGUCUAAGAGGAAAUGGCUAAUCCAUCAAGUUCAUCUCACAUUGAAAGUUUUGCAACCAAUAGACUUCUUUUUUUUUUUUUGCGGGAACUGAUUAUCCCUAUUGGAAAACUAAAAUGACUUGGUUUUUACAAUCAAUUGAUUUAGAUGUAUGAGAUGCCAUUGAAGAUGACCUAACUUUUCCUUCAAAACUAGUUGAUGGAGUCAUGGUUCCAAAACCUAAGCAAGAAUGGGAUGAGCGUGAUUGAAGAAAUUUUCAAUUAAAUGCUAAAGUCGUUUAUACUUUGCAAUGCUCUAUGGACAGAAAUGAAUAUAAUAGAAUAUGUCAAUGCAAAUCGGUUAAAGAAAUUUGGAGAUUGCUUGAAAUAACUCAUAAAGGAACAAAUCAAGUUAAAGAGUCAAAAAUCAAUUUACUUGUUCAUAGAUAUGAAUUGUUUUUUAUGAAAGAUAAUGAAACUAUUGUUAAGAUGAUCACUAGGUUCACCAACAUUGUUAAUGGUCUUAAAGCCUUGGGAAAGACCUACAAGGAAUCCGAAAACGUGAUGAAGAUCUUGAGGUCACUUCCAUCAAAGUGGCAUACCAAGGUCACCGCAAUUUAAGAAGCAAAAGACUUGAUCAAGCUACCUUUGGAGGAGUUCAUAGGGUCAUUGAUGACAUAUGAAAUCAAUUUGGCAAAGAAGUAACAAAAAGGUGAAGACAAAAAGAAGAAGAACAUAACUCUCAAAGCUACAACUAAGGAAGAAGAAGUUGAAGAAGAAAAACAAAUUGAAGAAGAUGAAGAUUUAGCCCUCAUCACAAGAAAGUUCAACAAAUUCAUGAGGGGUGAAAGGUUUAGAAGAAGAAGGUUCACUUCUAGAAGAGACUUUUCUAAAAAGGAAUCUUCAUCUAAUGGUGACAAAAAGAGAUGGGAAGAGAAAAGAGACUUGGUGUGUUUCAAGUGCAAGAAACCGGGACACAUUAAAUAUGAUUGUCCUCUCUACAAAAGUGAAGUCAAGAGGAAAAAGAAUAAGGCAAUGAUGGCCACUUAGAGUGAAAGUGAAGAUGAAUCAUCCGAAGAAGAAAAUGAGAAAGAAGUGGCAAACAUGUGUUUCAUGGCAAUAGAUGAACUUGAUGAGGUAAAAUCUAACCUUAGUGAUUAAGAUAUACAUGAUGCAUUUGAAGAAUUGUAUGAGGAUUUUUAAAAACUUAGUUUGAAAAAUAUUUCUCUUAAAAAGAAAGUUCAACAACUUGACAAAGAACUUAGAGAAGUAAAAGAAAAAUUUUCAAAUGUUAAAGUUUCUAAAACUCAUCUUGAAAAAGAAAAUGAGAUUCUAAGAAAGAAAAAUGAAUAGUUGAACUCCUCUCUUUCAAUCUUUUCUUCUAGACAAAAAUCUUUUGAAAUGAUUCUAACUAGCUAAAAAUGUGUUUUUGACAAACAAGGGUUAAGAUUUAAAUCUUCAAAAAAUCAAAAGUAUUUUAAAAACUAUUUUGUAAAGGAAUCCACAAGUGCAAGUCCUUCCACUACUUGCAACUUUUGUGGAAGAGAAUGGCACAUUAGUAGUACGCCCUUUAAGAAAUGGUUCUCAAAAGAAUUUAAAUGCAAAAACUAAAAAAGAUUUGGAUUGAGAAAUCCAAGGUCACUAACCCUCAAGGACCCAAAAAGAUAUAGGUACCUAAAUCAACUUGAGUUUUAUGUUGUAAGGUUCAAAGAAUGAUAAGUGGUUCUUAGAUAAUGGUUGCUCAAGACACAUGACCGGAGAUGAAUCCAAGUUUGCUUUUCUUAAAAAGAAAAAUGGAGGAUAUGUUACCUUUGGAGACAAUGCAAAAGAAAGGAUGAUUGGUCAAGGCAACAUUGGUAAUGGCACAUCCUCUCUCAUUGAAAGUGUUUUAUUAGUAGAUGGUUUCAAACAUAACCUUUUAAGCAUUAGUCAAUUUUGCGACAAAGGUUUUUAAGUGAUUUUUUAAGCAUCUCAUUGCAUCAUCAAGGAUAUUCAAAAUGAUAAAACCAUUUUCAUGGGCCAUAGAUGUGAUAAUGUUUAUGCUAUAAAUAUUUCAAAAUAUGAUGGCCAUGAUAGAUGUUUUUCAAGCAUGCAUGAUCAAAGUUGGUUGUGCCAUAGGAGAUUGAGACAUGCUAACAUAGACCUCAUUUCCCAACUCAACAAAGAUGAACUUGUUAGAGGCCUUCCCAAAAUAAUUUUUUAAAAAGAUAAAGUUUGUGAAGCUUGUCAAGUGGGAAAGUAAAUCAAAAACUCUUUUAAAAACAAAAACUUCAUUUCCACAUCUAGGCCACUUGAGUUGUUGCAUAUGGAUUUAUUUGGUCCCUCUAGGACACCAAGUCUUAGAGGAAAUUCUUAUGCAUAUGCUAUUGUGGACGACUUCUCUAGAUACACAUGAGUCUUGUUUUUUAGUCAAAAGAAUAAAGUUUUUUAUGAGUUUUCAAAGUUUUGCAAUAAGAUUCAAAAUGAAAAAGGUUUUUCAAUUACUUAUAUAAGAAGUGAUCAUGGGAGAGAAUUCGAAAAUAUUGAUUUUGAAGAGUAUUGCAAUGAGCAUGGAAUUGACCACAAUUUUUUGGCUCUUAGAACUCCUCAACAAAAUGGGGUAGUUGAAAGGAAAAAUAGAACUCUUCAAAAAAUGACAAGAACCAUACUAAAUGAAAACAACUUACCAAAAUAUUUUUAGGCCAAAACGGUUAACACUUCUUGUUAUGUUUUAAAUAGAGUAUUAUUGAGGCUCAUACUUAAGAAAACUCCCUAUGAGCUUUGGAAAAACAAAAAACCCAACAUUAGUUAUUCCAAAGUCUUUGGAUGCAAUAUUUUAUAAUAAACACCAAAGACAAUCUUGGAAAAUUUGAUGCAAAAUUGGAUGUUGGAAUUUUCCUUGGUUACUCAACUUCAAGUAAAGCUUUUCGAGUUUUAACAAAAGAACCAUGGUUGUAGAGGAGUCCAUCCAUGUUAUUUUUUAUGAAUCUCCAAGAAAGAGAGAGGAUUGAUGAUGAUUUAGGUUUGAAGACCUCUAUAGGAAGAUUGCAAAUCGAAGAUAGAAGACAACAAGAAGAAAAUGGAGAGAAUCCAAAGAAAGAAGGAUCACCAUUGGCACUACCCCCUCAUCAACAAGCGCAAGGUGAAUCAAGUCAAGAGCUUCCUAAAGAAUGGAAGUUUGUCAUCAAUCACCCACAAGAUCAAAUUAUAGGCAAUCCAUCUAGUGGGGUAAGAACUAGAUCCUCUCUUAGAAAUAUUUGCAAUAAUCUAGCUUUUAUCUCUCAAAUUGAGCCUAAAAAUAUAAAUGAUGUUUUAGAUGAUGAAAAUUGGAUAAUUGCAAUGCAAGAAGAGUUAAAUCCAUUUGAAAGAAGUGGAGUAUGGGAAUUAGUACCAAGACCUUCAAAUCAAAGUGUUAUUGGAACUAGAUGGAUCUUUAGAAAUAAAAUGGAUGAAAAUAGCAUAAUUGUUAGAAAUAAAGCAAGAUUGGUAGCCCAAGGUUUUAAUCAAGAAGAAAUGAUAGAUUAUGAAGAAACCUUUGCCCCCGUAGCUAGGUUGGAAGCCAUUAGGAUGCUACUUGCCUUUGCAUGUUUUAAAGACUUUGUUUUAUAUCAAAUGGAUGUGAAAAGUGCUUUUUUAAAUGGUUUUAUAAAUGAAGAAGUAUAUGUUGAACAACCACCCGGUUUUCAAAGUUUCAACUUUCCUAACCAUGUUUUUAAACUUAAAAAGACACUUUAUGGUUUGAAACAAGCACCUAGAUCAUGGUAUGAAAAAUUGAGUAAAUUUCUUUUGAAAAAAAUGUUUUAAAAUGGGAAAAAUUGACACAACUCUUUUUAUAAAAACCAAAGAAAAUGAUAUGCUCUUAGUUCAAAUAUAUAUUGAUGAUAUCAUUUUUGGUGCUACUAAUGUCUCUCUUUAUGAAGAAUUUUCUAAGUGCAUGCAUAGUGAGUUUGAAAUGAGCAUGAUAGGAGAACUCAACUUCUUCCUUGGACUUCAAAUCAAGCAACUAAAGGAAUGAACCUUCAUCAAUCAAGCAAAGUAUAUAAGAGAUCUUCUCAAAAGGUUCAACAUGGAAGAAGCCAAAACAAUGAAGACUCUAAUGAGCUCAUCCAUUAAGCUUGAUAAGGAUGAGAAAGGUAAAUCCAUUGACUCUAUUAUGUAUAGAGGCAUGAUAGGUUCUUUGCUCUAUUUGACCACUAGUAGACCUUACAUUAUGUAUAGUGUGUGUUUGUGUACUAGAUUUCAAUCUUGUCUUAAAAAAUCUCACUUAAGUGUCGUGAAAAGAAUCCUCAAAUAUUUGAAAGGGACAAUGGACAUAGGCUUAUGGUAUCCUAAGAGUGAUAACUUUGAAUUAAUUGGUUUUUUGGAUGCUGAUUUUGUCAGUUGUAGGGUUGAAAAAUAAAACACUAGUGGCACUUUUCAUUUCUUAAGACACUUACUUGUCUCAUGGCAUAAUAAGAAGCAAAAUUUGGUAGCUUUGUCAACAGCAGAAGCUAAAUACAUAGCAACUGGUUUAUGUUGUGCACAAAUCCUUUGGAUGAAAUAAACACUUAGUGAUUUUGAUUUAUCUUUUGAGCAUAUUCCUAUUAAAUGUGAUAAUAGUAGUGCCAUAAGUAUAUCAAAAAAUCUCGUGCAACACUCUAGGACUAAGCAUAUAGAGAUUAGACAUAAUUUUCUUAGAUAUCAUACACAAAAGGAUGAUAUAACACUUGAAUUUGUAAGCAUAAAAGACCAACUUGCCGAUAUCUUUACAAAACCUCUAAGAACAUUUUGUUGAUAUUAGAGGACAAUUAGGAGUGAUUUCUUUAUGAUCUAAUGUGAUGAAUUCUUGAUGAAUAUACUUUUUGAUUGCAUGAAUUUCAUGUCAUAUAUGCAUCAUAUAGAAAUAUACUUAGAUAAUGGUCAAAUUUCGACCAAAAAUCAAAAUUCCCAUGGCAUUAGGCAUAAAAAUUUUGGAAUUUCAACUGAAAAUGGUAGGAGGAGGAUCACAAAAUGAGAAAGUAUGCAAAAAUUGAAAAAUCAAAACGUUGACCAAGCGGUCAAUCGGACUAGACCGAUCGACUAGUUUGUCGAGAUUUAGGAUUUUUAAGAGACUCCAACGCUUCAAUUUUUGCACCGUUCUCCUCUAUUUCUUCACGGUUUCUCUGAUUUUGUCUUUUAGAGACUAAUUUGAGUGCGUUUUGGAUCAAUUGAAGCAUUUUGGAUUGGAUUUUAGGAAGAUUGAAAGUUAAGGUUUCGGAUUUGGGUCGCCUUCUCUUCCUCUCGCGUGUCACAAUCAGCUUUAGCAUUGUUCUCUUUCCAUUUUCACACACCUAGGGUUUCAGUUGUGAGCAUCUCUCUCUCUUUACCAACCACUACUCCCUUGCUUCUUCCAUAUGGCUCCUAGGCGAGAGUCCGCUACUUCUAGGGCACAAGGCAAGCACCCAACUGAGUCGUCUCAGUCAAAGGCACGUCGAAAAGUGAGAUUUGACAUUGCCUUGUUCAGUUCCAUGGAGGACUACCAACUAUACAAGCAACACUUUGCUUAGAGACGAGUAGUUCCCAAGAGAAAUAUUAAUUUUCCUCAACUUCAGCAUUUCGAAUUUAAGGGUCUAUUUACUAGGAUGGUUGGUUGUCUAUUGUCACAAUUUCGGAGCCGGUUUUCCUGACCUUAGUGCGAGUUUUUUACUCGAGGGCGACUUAUGGCAUGGGUGGCAUGAUCAUUUCUACUGUUGGAGGAGUUGAGAUCUGUCUGGACCCAGAGAGCAUCUGCCAUAUUUUCGAUAUUGCUCUGGUUGGACUCAAAGUAUACAAGUCCAAAAUGUGGCCCAUUGUGCCAGGAUUUGAGCUUAGAGAGGUCAUUCAGAGGAUUUGUGAACUUCCAGACGCCCAGGAGAUGGGCAAACCAUUGCCACACAGUUUGACGGUCAUCAACAGGGUGCUACACCAUAUAUUGUGCUCUAUCUUUCUACCACGAAGUGGACAUUGAGAUGAGGUCUCUUAUUAUGAGGCAUUCCUUAUUGACUCCAUUCUAACGGAGAGACGAAUUCAUCUACUAUGUCAUCAUUCACUAAGCCUCCUCACAGUGACAUACCACCUCAUCAGGCACCUCUUGCUCCUGACCAUGCUCCAUUGAUGGAUUUAUUUACUCAUAUUAGCUCUCUAGGCACUCGCAUGAAGGAGUUUGUUGUAGUUAGUGAUACAUGGUUCUACUCCAUAGAGGAUCGCAUGGAUCAGUAUCAGACUGGCUUCACGUCACAGUUUGAGUAUCUCCAAUAGAGGAUUGAGCAUAUUGAGGAUCACUUGAGCAUGAGAAGAUGAUGGCUUUUCUAUGCUCUGUGUUUCCACCUCCACCUCGUCAACCUUGAUUUCUUAGAGACCCAUUGUUUUCAUUUUGUAAUGUUGCCAAAAGGGGGAGAUAUUUAGGAUCUAGGACUCUAUAGGAGACUUACAUGCAUAUCAUUUUCAUAUCAUUGUUUGGAUCGUACAUAUUGGAUAGUGAUACUUUUUACUUAUAUAUGAUAUGCCUAUAUGUUUCAUGUCUUACAUUGUUUCUUAUUGCAAAUUAUCUCUAACAUGUCUUGAUUAUCUUUUUUUUAACUUCAUAAAUUUUGAUUGUUAACCCAUGAUUGGUUUGAGGGGAAGAUUCUUCUUCUCCUAGAUAACCAAGGUUUGUCAUCAUAAAAAAAUUGGAGAUUGUUAGCCCAAGGGUUCUCCUAAUCAUGUUUUGAUGAUAACAAACCAUGCUUAAGUUACUAAUUGGUUUGAAUUAUAAAGAAUUUCAAGUGUUAAUUUGAAAAUUCAUCAAAGAACCUAAUGGAUGCAAGAUCAAGAUUUUUGGAAGACCUUUAAUCAUAAGAAACAUAUGUAAGAUGAAUGCAUGGGUGCACUUAAGAUUUGCAUAUCAUUUCAUGCAUAUUUGGAAAACACGGUUUAUGCUUUAAAGUUACAUUUCCAUCAAAAUUUGAGAUCCAUCAAAUGAACCUUAGGAAAAAUGUUUUAAAAUUGGCAUAUAAUUUUACCUAAAGACCUUGCCUAAGUGUUAGAAGCAAAAGGACAAAAAAAAUAUAGGUUUUCUGGUCAAAAAUGGUGAACCAGUCAAGGCAUUGUCUAAAUCAGCUCAAUCGGCCAAGGUACCGGUCGAUCGGUUUCCCUUUCCCUGUCGAGAUCUAGUCAAGAGGUACAAAAAUCACAAUCUCUGUCUCUUUCUCUCUUUGUCUAUCUUCCAGUAGUCUUUCCUUCCCGGUCGAGGGAUUUGCCUUCCCGAUUGAGGUCCGAUUGAGAGUAAUAGUCACUUGCCAAAUAUUAAAUGCUCCAACAGUUAGUGAACUGGUCGACCCCCACCUUGCCCAGUUGAGGUUACUUUUUGGUUUUCUUGGCUCCCGAUGUUAGAAACCUAUAAAUAGAGAGUUCCACUUCAUUUAUGAGCAAGAGAACACUUGCAUUUAUUUGUUUACCUACUUGUUCUUGCCUUAAAAGCUCUCAUUUCUUUUCUUGGUGCAUUAAAUCUCCAUUUUGAUAUCCUUUAGUGCACCUUUGUGAUUCAUCUUAGCCUUGAGUUGUAUUUGAGCCCUUUUUUUAGCUAGGUUGAGAGUUUCAUACUUGUUAAUUGAGUGUUAAAGCCUUCAAGUGAGUUGAAACUUGUAGAGAUUAUGUGAGAGUCGAUUGGAGCCGAAAUCCAAGUGUAAAGGUGAUUAGAAGCUUGGUUGAAGCUUCAAGUUAGUGGAAUCCUCACUCAAUUAGGAGCUUGAGGAGAGUGGACGUAGCCAAGGAAGUGUCGAACCACUAUAAAAUUUGAGUUUGAUUUCUCUAACAUUGUCUCUUUAUAUUUGUUUAUCUUGUGCUUAAAUUUAUUGUGUUUAAAAAGAAUUUUUAAAUACCCAAUUCACCCCCCUCUUGGGUGUUUUUCUCUUUUAAAAUUAGCCUUUAUUUUCUCACAAACUAUUGUAGUAUAGUGGUUUUUAGGUGUCAUCCAUUAGGAUGAAUUGUUCUCGGUAAUUAAGGCGUGAAUGAGAGGAGAAUUAAUGAUUGUGAUUAAGUAAAAUUGAUUUGAAAAUUCAUGGUGAAAAAUCAAUUUAACAAUGGUUUCUAAUUGAGAAAAACAAUGAAAUGUGAAAUAAAAUAAAAUUAAUAGGAAAUGAAAUUCUCGAAGUUAGAAUUUUCUAAAAAACAAAUUCCAUGGUGAAUGGAUGUUGAGAUCUAAUUUUCAUCAAGUUAGAUUGAAAACCGAAAUUUUCAUAUAAACUGAUUUUUUAUUUAGUUUUAGGUCUAGAUUUAAUUUCCCUUAAAAUUAGGUUAUUUAAUCCAAGAAAUCAAUUCAAAUCAUAUAUUCAAUUCAUCUUAAAUUAUCUUCCAAUUAUUCACACAAUGCAACUAUUCAAUCUCAUCAAAUCUAGCUUUUAAGAAUUUAAUGAAUCUACCUAGUUUGCAUUGUAAUAGUCAUCCAUGACAAUUUGAAGAGAAAAAUAAUUCAAUUAAUCAAUCACUUGGAUCAAAUUACCUUUGCAAUUAAAGUUCAUUUCUCUAAUUCACCACAGAUUUUGUCUCUAGAUCCUCCUUUCUCAAAGAAAAAUGAGAUUUAGCCACACAUGAUUGGAGAUUUGGUCUCAUAAGGCAUGUUUAGCUAGUGAUAAAAUGAGAGAAAAUAAAGAAAAAUAGAGAAUUCGAUUAAGAAAGAAAAUCUAAAAAAUUCUACAAUUAGAAAUGUCCAAAAAGCUUUUUCAUGAGAAAAUCAAGUUUCUAUUUAUAGGCCAAGGUCAAGUGGACACUUGACAUCAUCUAAGAGGUCUUCCGGAAGCUUCUUCAUCAAGAAAUCUGGAGUUUAAUAAUAAAAUGGUCAUUUCACAAGAGCUCAAACAAUUUCGCAUGAUUAUGUGAAAUAAAAAAUGCAACAACAGCAAUUUACAUCUUCUUGGAGCAUUUCGCAUGACUGUGUGAAAUUUUCACAUGAUCAUGUGGAAUCGACUUGACAACUCUCAUUUAGCCUACAACAUAAUUCCACCUUUUGGUCCAUUUUUCAUAGUCAUGCGAAAUGGAAAUAUUUGAUUUUUAAGUUUUCUUUUGUCAUUUCUUUCAUUUCCUUCUCUUGAUUCCACUUCAACUACCUCCGAAUCCUGGUCCAAACCAAUUGCAUUACUUCUUUCAUUAUGCAUUUGGAUCAUCAUCAACAUUAUUUGUUCUCUUCAAUUUGAUUCAUCUCUUUUGUCACCAAUUUAUCAAAAUCAUACCUUGAAAUGACUCCAAAACUUCAUAAAACUUGUUAGUAACUCUUGCAAGGGCAACAACAUAUUAAUUAAGUGUUUUAGGCAUAGUUACUACUCAAAAGAUGCGAAACUCAUGAUAAUUAUUAUAUAAAAUAUGCUCUUUUUGAGUAGUAAUCAACUUUCUUGCAUAAGCAGACCUUUUAGGGUGGAGUACUAAAGACCAAUAUGCUUGUCCUUGUUGUAAUAAAGAAACUUGCUCUUAUUGAUUGCACCAUGGGAGAAAAUUUUGCUACAUGAGUUAUCAUCAAUUUCUUCCCACCAAUCAUAGAUUUAGACGUGACAAGAGGCCUCUUAAUGGCAAGGAGGAACUGACACUCACACUUAUACAAUUAUCGGGCAUUGAUGUGUUGCAACAAUUAGAAUAACUUACACCAAUUAUGUUGGGGAAGUCACAAAAGGCAAACAUGAAAACUAAAAGGAAAAAAGAAAAAUGUUACAUAUCACCACAACUGGAAAGAAAAAAGUAUUUACUUUCAUUUGCCAUAUUGGAAAGCACUUAUUUUACAUCAUAAUAAUUUAGACAUAAUGCAUAUUGAGAAAAAUGUGUGACAAUAUAAUUGAGACAUUGUUCAGUAUUGACGAAGAAACAAGGACAACCUAAAUAGUCAUCUCGAUUUACAAGCUCUAACUAUUAGAAAUGAGAUUCACCCAAUAGAAAGCAGGACCAAAUUUAUUUUGCUUGCAACAUGCUACUCACUCACCCCAAAUGAGAUUAAGGAAUUUUGCAAGUUUUUGAAAUCAAUAAAGGUCCCCAAUGGCUAUUCUUUCAAUAUCUCUCGUUAUGUGCAACUCAAUGAAAGGAAGAUAUAUGAGCUCAAAUUGUAUGAUUGUCAUGUCCUAAUGCAACAACUUCUCUCACUUGUAGUUCGUGGAGUUCUACAUAAGAAUGUUUGUGGAGUUAUCAUAGAAUUGCGUAAUUUUUUCAAGCAAUUGUGCUCAAAGGUGUUAGAAACAAAUCACUUACACCAACUUGAGAACAAUAUUAUUGUCAUACUAUGUAAAAUGGAGCAAAUAUUUCUUCCAUCAUUCUUUGAUAUUAUGGUGCAUUUACUUGUGCAUCUAGUAAGGCAAAGGUUGCAAGACUUGUGCAAUAUUGUUGGAUGUACCUAAUUGAACGAUAUUGUUAUAAUUUCAUAUGAAUCAUUUAAUUUUAUUUUAUAUUAUGUUCAGUUCAUUAACAUGUACAUUGGUCUACAUAUGGAUGAUGAUAGGUACCUAAGCACUUUAAAGUCAUAUGUGCGUAAUAGAACUUUUCUAGAAGGUUCUAUUGUAGAAAGGUACCUUGCAAAAGAAUGUACAACAUUUUAUUCUAGGUACUUGAAUGAUGUGGAAAUAAAGUAUAAUCACAAUGAUAGAAACUUUGUUGGUUUCAACACUAGAGGAGAUGAAAGGGGUUAUCUUUAAACAUAUUGGACAUGCAUUGGGAAAGCCCAUAUUUCAUUAACUUAGUUCAAAAGAGUGGUCACAAGCACAUUUAUAUGUGUUGACAAAUUGCGAAGAUGUCAUACCAUUCAUUGAGUAAAAAAUUUAUUUGAAUUUUAAUUAAAGCUCUAGUUUAUAUCCUUAAUCAAUGUUUUUUAAAUUCACAAGGAGCACAAGCAAACCAUCAAGGCUAGACCACAUAUACGUGUUUGAGACGUAGAUUUAAUUCAUAACAAGGAAUUUAUCAAGUGGUUUGAAAGACAUGUAAGUAUAUUCCUUAUUAUAAGGGAUUUAUUUCACAUUAUGUUUAUAUUGAAUCCAAACCUAUUAUUGAAUUGUAGGUUGAACAAUUACAUAAUGAAGGUCAUAUAUCUGAACACCUUCUCACAUUAUCAUGUGUUCCAAAUUCAUUAGUUACAUGCUUCAAAUGAUAUAUUGUCAAUGGAUUUAGAUCCCACAUUAAAGAACGUGAUAAAAAAGUUUUUAAAAAAAGACUCAGAAUAAUGGAAUUGUUGUAGUUGCAAAAACGUCAAGCUUUACAAGUGCAUGUGAUAUGAGUCCAAUUAUUAGUGAUGCUCUCUACUAUGGUGUUCUAACUAAAGUUGUUGAGUUACAUUAUCUUGGUGAAAAUAAGGUUGUUUUAUUCGAGUUUGAUUGGUGGGAUGUUACAAAUAUUGGAAAAUUGAUAAAAGAUGAUGAGUACAAUUACACAUUUGUUAACUUUGCAUGAAUUCUAACCACGAACGAACGAUUUGUACUUGCAUCUCCAGCAAAGUAAGUGUUCUAUGUGAAGAAUGCGAAUGAAUCAGAUUGGCAUACUAUCAUGGAGAUGCAACCUCAAGACCUCUAUAAGAUGAACGGGAUAGGAUCCAAUGGUGAUUUUGAACCAUUUCAACAAAGUGAACUACAUGAUCACUAAUAUAUCUCAGAUUUAGUUGAUGAAGAUAUAAUCAAGUGGAACAAAAGUGAUGUUUUAGGACUAAUCAUCCUAAAAAAUAUUGUAGUUUCUUAAAAAAAAAAUGAAAAUGAAGAAGAUAAUUGAACCUUUGUCAUACUUUAAAAAGCAACUAUGCAUUGUUCAUUUUGUAUGUUUUGGUUUUCUUCAUUUAAUUUCCUGAUUUUUGUGAUUCAAUGUCAUAUUAUUGAUCUUGAAAUAUUUUUCUAAUUUUUCAUUCUACGAUGGUUUCAACAAGGAUGACAUCAAGUCAAAAAAGGAAAUGUGGUCCCACACACAAUAUUGCAUUACAGGGAUUAAGGUCAGGGAAGAAGGUAAAAGUUGCAUUUAAUGAGUACAAUCAAUUGGUUAAACAGAAAAAUGGAAAACACUUAUCGAGCUACAUAGGGACACUUGUAUCUAACCAACACAAUGUACCUCUCCAAGCUAGUGAUUGGAAAAAUGUUCCAAAUGAUGCAAAAGAGAAAGUAUGGCCUUUGUUUUGGUAUGUUGUAUUUCUCACUAUAUGAUGUCAUUUCACUGUUAUUCUAUUUUGUGACUAACGUUUGAAUCAUAUGUAAGAAAAAUUUGAAGUAGAUAAAGACUGAAAAGAUUACAUGUUGGGUAUAGCCUCAAAUAAAUAUAGAAGCUAUAAAAAUAUGAUGAAUGCAAAAUACUAUGACCCUUGGCAUAAGGAUGCAUGAGGAGAGGUUAAUACAUAAAUCACCAUUUGUCUCUGAUGUUGAUUGGAAGUGGCUUGUCUCUGAUGCAUAAACCAAAUCCCCCACUGAAUGUUUGAUAUUUGAUAGCAGGAAAAACACACCCGCAGCUAUACACCUCCAUCAUUCAGAUAAUUAUAGUGGGGGAGAUGAUUCAUGGUUGCCCUUAUACCCUUUAUUUGCACCAUCUAUUGAGAUUCUUUAUCAUGGCCAGGUUUUACUGCAGCAAUAAGAUAUGGUGGCAACAAUUUUAUCUAUAGGUGCGGUUCCAGACCGCCUCCAUAGGUGCGGUUCCUGACUGCCUCCAUAGGUGCCUCUUCUUGUAAUGUUUGUUCUGGGAAUUACACUUGAAAGCCUUAUCGUGAUAAGGGAUUACAAACACUAGUUCAGAGGACAGCCAUGUUAAACUUCCACUAUGUUUGUGUCACAUUAUCAGCAGCCUAGUGUUUAUUGGUCAUGCUAUCUGCAACUAAUAUAACCCGGUGAACUUCAAUCUAAAUUCUGAAAGUACUCAUGUGACAGAUGGUGCCUUUCAGCAGAUAUCAUCAAUUUAAAAGUAGUGUGUGUGCCUAUAGGUGGGAAGGCCUUGGCAAAUGUUCAGUAUUCCGGUAAUUCAAGAAGGAUAUAUCUAAAAUAGAUUUUCUUCUUGCCCAUUUCAAUAGUUAAAAUUUGAGAAGAUUGUGUCCACAUCACACAAAUAUUAUUGGUCCUUCUGUUGCAAUUUACCUCUGAACAUGUCUUCCAAUUCCCACGGUCCUGUUACUCCAGGAAAACUAUUUCGGUCAUAUUGAAAAAAAAAAUAUUAAAGAAGGUACACAUGCUUUUAAGUGGACUGGGGCAUUCAUAUCAGGUGGUCUGUAUCCACAUAUGCCACUUCGUGAAAGGUGGAACAGCCUAAUCACUAGGCUAUUUAGUGUGGCCCAGCCACGUUAAUCAAGCACAAGUCUUCAUACUUAAAGUCAAAUGGUGUCUUUAGUCUCAUUACACAUCGCUAUUUGAAGAUUAACUCAUCACUAGUGUAAUGCGAUUAAGACAGUCCUAACUCAAUAUUUGUUCUAGUUUUGGAUGCAAAUGCUUGCUGGUUUCAUCAUUGGAUGGGAUAAAGGUGCAAUCAGGACUAUGAAUACGUGCAGUAAUACUUCAUUCUCUUUUUUCUCAAUGAGACUUCUUGGCACAAUUUUGCUGCUCAGCAACCUACCUUUCCAUGGAAAAUCAGUUGUGACUGAUAGUAAUGGAUAUAUUCUAGAAAGCUAAACAUAGAUAGCAUUCAAUAUUAUCGAUAUAACAUUAACAGCGUAUGUCUCAAUGCUCAUCAGCUACAAGCAAUGGACAAACACUUUGAGUAACUCACAGCAGUCAAAAUUCCUAAACAGGACAGACGUGACAGAUCUAUAUAUAGAACACUGCAUAUGAGUCACAGGAAAAGAUAAUACGGGUACAUAGAAGCUCUUAUUUUACAUAUUACUCAUACUGAUCAAAGUCGCUCAGUUGGGAUGGAUGGGAGAAGGAGGUUUGAGGGGUGGCUUGUGCGGGGAAGUUGGCAGCUUCUUUCCGGGAGCUGGUUGCUUCUUUGCUGGAGUUGAAGGAGGCUUAAUCUUCCGAGGUGGCUUGUAUGAGUCUUCAGCAUUCUCAGCAGGAGGGUGACCAGGGUUGUGACCAUAAUGUGGUGGCUUCUCUCCCUUAGGUGGUUUGCCAACUGGGGUUGGUGGCUUGUUUUCUGGGAGUGGCUUCUCUCCCUUGGGUGGUUUGCCAACUGGGGUUGGUGGCUUGUGUUCUGGGAGUGGCUUCUCCCCCUUGGGAGGUUUUUCGAAUGGGGUGGGUUUGUGUCCUGGUGGUGGCUUCUCUCCCUUGGGAGGUUUACCAAUUGGGGUCGGUGGCUUGUGUUCUGGGAGGGGCUUCUCUCCCUGGGGAGGUUUAGUGGGUGGCUUGUGUUCUGGAGGUGGCUUCUCCACCGGAGGCUUAUGCUCUGGUGGUGGCUUCUCGAAGGGGGGAUGCUCAGGGUAAUCACCAAGUGAGGGGGUGGUGAGAACCACCAUGCCAAGCAACAACACUAGCAAGUAUGUAGUAGACAUCUUUGGGUUUGGACUCAGACAGUGCAAAACUACGAGAAAUCGCUAGCCCUUUAUAGCGGCUCGGACCUAAUACUGACAUAAUAUAAAAUAAAUAUUAUAUUUUAUCAAGAGAGAACAGAGUGUAAUUUUAUCAUUAAUACCGAUCGAGGCCAAAGAAAGAAGACCCAUAAUCCAUUUCCCACAAGCAUACACAAUGCAGCUGUAAUUUUAUCAUUUACUUUUAUCCCUUGGACCACUGCAUUUUUGUUGAGAGACACAAUAACACAUUUUUAUCUGUCAUUCAACAUUUACAGUAAAGAGAGGGCACAAAACGCAAUUAGAUAAAUUAUGUUUUGCCUGCUAAAAAGAGGCAAAUAACUUUAUUUGCAACAUAAUUAUUUUGGUUUCUAGUGACCCCGGGGCCUUUCGGUUGGUUUGGGAUCGGAAAAUGAACAUCAUAGGGGGGGUUGUGCCCUUAUGGGCAUAUAUAUCUGAUAGCUUCAACUGGCCUUGUUCCUAGAAAGAAAUUGCCAAAGAUAUAAACUUAUUCCAGGCUGAAAGUAGAUGAGAGUCAUAAUGAACAUCAACCUUUGUUCAGUUUGAUUCAAUGCCCCCAUAGUGUUCAUUUCACAGAUCUGAAUGAUUAUAUCCGUUGAAUACAUAAAUUAAUGAAGACAAAUAUGAAACCCAAGAUACAUCUCUGCAUAACAACCCCAACCCUGGUUGCUAUGUUUCCCUUCUUCUAUUCACAUGAGGAUACUGGUUAUAAUUGUCAAACUUGCAACAAGCCCUUUGACACCUAACGUCAAUGGACGAAUUAAAAGUCUCCUUCAAACGUCUAUUUCACAGCAUGAAGCUUAUAAAGGAUGCUGACAACCUUCAGAGUUAGCGACAAAAGAUAAUUAUCAAGGAGAGAUAGUUCCAUGAGAAUUCCAAGGAGUCUGAAUCAAAGACAAAUUGCUCACUCAAGGGUUCUUAUUUUCUUUUAGGUACAAAUCUCUUGAGUGUUGUUAAAGAAACACGUCACUGUCAUUUUGAUUUGCAUUUAACAUUUCACUUUUGUUCUGGAAGGUUUGUUCCGGAAACAUAUCAAAUGAGCAUCAUUUUCUUCUUCGGUGACACAUGGUCGCGAGUACGUGGGUCCAUUUUCAUGCCACUUAGUUGAAAAGUUGGAAAGAAAAAACAUGCCAACAAGAAGAUAGUGAGAGAAGGGGCACUUCAAGCCUUUAACAUGAACAAACAGUAAAUAAAAGAUGUUUCUCCACUCAUAAAAGUGUGUUAGAUAGCAAUAUAACGAAUCACAUCCAAAAUCUUUACUAGGCUCAAACAUAAAGAAGACUCAUUUUUAAGAAAAGAUAAAAAUGGCAUUGUCUGAUAGUAUCCAAUACACGAGAUGGCACUUAAUUUGUACAAGAUCUGUCAAUGCUGACGCACAUUUUCUGAUUAAAAAAAAACUGAUCAGUCAAAAGCAAUGAAGAGAAGUGAUGACAAUGAAUGAUGCUUCCAAUAUUUUCACCCCUUAUAGUGUUCUUCAUGAUUCAGAUAUAUAAUUGGAAAUAGAACAACCCUAUGCCAUACAUUCGUCUAAGUAUGGUGUCUAAUUUUUUGUGUCAGCGGUUGCGAAUGGAGCGUGCAAAAGUCCAAAUUGGCGUCUCUCCAUUUCCACAUAGGAAGGUGACCUUUAUUGACAAAUACCCAAUAUUUGUAGACAUUCCUUAAAUAUCAUAACUUCUUGUUGAUUUGAAAAUCAUUUUUCAACUACCAUGUUUUAAUAAAUAUUUUUUAAAAUGUAUUUUUAUCAAAGUCCACCAUGAUGGAUAAUAUUCACCAUGCAAUAAUUAAUAAAGUACAAACUAAGCGAAAUGAAAAGCAUUUUCUUUGCUUUGAGUUGAUUUUGGUUGCAUUGAGUUGAUUUUGGUUUCAUGGUUUUUUCAACUCUUAUUUUGAUUGGAAGAUGUCAAGAAAAGAAAACAUAAAGAAAAAUUAAAAGGGAAAAAAGAAGAAAAAUAAAAAAAAAUAGAUUUAAAAGUUAAUAAAUUAUUUUUUAUAUUUAUUUUAAUUCAUUUCACUUAUUUUUCUUUUACUAUAUAAAAUUUAAAUAAUUUAAAUUUUAUAAUUAAUUUAAUUACAUUUCAUUUUCUUCUAUAUUUAAAUAUUGGAAAAAUAUUUUACUUAAUAUUUUUUUCUUUAAUUUCUUUGGCAUUUUGGGAACCAAACUUAGCCUUUAAAAUAAAAAACAAAAAAAAAAUGAAAAUAAGGAGGGAAAAGUGAGAAAAGAUAAAAACAAUAUGUAAAGGAUUUGAAAAGUAUUAGUUUGUAAUUACUAUUUGGAUUUCAAUAGUAUUUUAUUUGUCUUUCUAUAUUUCAUGUAAGAGAGAAUUUAAGAUAUUCCCCAAGGCAAAGCAUUAGUUACCUGCAAUCAGUGGUGAUAAGGCUCCAAGCCAAUUUUGGGCCCCAUAUCUUAAGACAGUACAAUUUCCAUUUCAACAUUUCUGAUUUCUCAGAUGUUUCACAUACCACAGAAGAACAUUGUUUGUGAAAAUAUGCAUUUAUGUUGGAUUUUGUAUGCUGUGGGGACUGGGGCAAGGAUCAUAUGGAAGAGUGGUUGACUUUUUCUGUACUUUAACGGUUGAAAUAGGAUAAGCACGGGCAUUUGUGAGGCUUAAUUGAUUUUGAAGCCUGAAAUUGCGUUUCUGUCAUUUUGUCAAAAAAAUGGCAGAUUCCAUACUCAUAUGUUUGGCCUGUGGCCAUGUACAGAUGCCAUUUAGUGACCAGUUUGUAACUGUCAAUCGUUGCGUUUUGACUCUGCCUCAACAACAUCUGCCAUUGACGGGUUUUCAUACUUGCAAAUCAAAUAGUCUUUCGUCCCAUCAGGAAUUUCGGUUUAAAUAUUAUUAAGCAUACGUUUGGCUGACAAUCAUUAUCCAGUUCAUGAUUUGGUUUCUUACCCUUAAUCAAUGGUUUCUAAGUGAAUAUAUGUAGAAGGAAAUCCGAAGUGUAGACAGUAGUAUCGAUAACUCUCAAUAUUCUCUAUAUAAUAGAAUAAACAGCGUCAUAGUGAUCGUCGCCUACAAGCAAGGUACAAAUACCAAAACGAGUGACUCACAUAGACAUCUCCCAACAAGAUGUAGUAGUGACUGACACAUGGACACAAUUAACUCGUAGAAAAGGAUAAGACCAUUGCACAGCAGCUCUUAUUUUACAUACUACUUAUGCUAACCAAAGUCAAUUAGUUGGGAUGGGUGGGAGAUGGAGGUUUGUGCGGUGGCUUGUGGGGCGGAGUUGAUGGCUUCUUUCCAGGAGCUUCUGGCUUUUUCAUCGGAGCUGAAGGAGGCUCAAUCUUAUGAGGCGGCUUGUAUGAGUCUUCUUUACUCUCGACAGGAGGGUGGCCAGGGUUGUGAUCAUAAUGUGGUGGCUUCUCUCCCUUAGGUGGCUUGCCAACUGGGGUUGGUGGCUUGUGUUCAGGAAGUGGUUUCUCUCCCAUGGGAGGUUUAGCAAUUGGGGUUGGUGGCUUGUGUUCUGGGAGUGGCUUCUCUCCCUUGGGAGGUUUAGUAGGUGACUUGUGUUCUGGAGGUGGCUUCUCCACCGGAGGCUUGUGCUCCGGUGGUGGCUUCUUGGUUGGAGGGGGCUUGGGGUAAUCAGCAAGAGAUGGGGUGGUGAGAACCACCAGUCCAAGGAACAACACUAGCAAGUAUGUGGGAGACAUUUUUGAGUUUGGGCUGAUCAGAUGAUGCAAAACUAAAGCAUUACGUGACCUUUUAUAGCAUGUAGCUCCCAAUACCCACUAAGUAUUGUGGGGUCCAUUUGUGCCCUACGGGGUUGAAAACUUAGACAAUUGGGCAAGGACCCACCUGACUAUGGAGGACUAGUGAGGUGUGAUCAUAGCUUUAGGAUUUUUCUUCCUCUGCAGCCGUCGUGCCGUUGGCAUGAUUUUCUUAAUCUUAAAUAAAGGCAUAGUUAUAGAGUUGUUUAAUCUCUAAAUGGGAUUUUAUAUAUAUCUUCAGAUAGCCAUUAAUAUAUUUGAUGAAGAAAGAAAGACAAGUGCAUACAACAUGUAUACGACUAGCUUUCAUGGAGUUCAUUUAUGAUCAGUUUUCCUGUACAUGUAAACCAGGAUCAUAUAUAUGUUUCUGUUCCACAACUAUUUUGGAAUCUUGUUUAUCAGUUUUUAUCAUUAUAAUGUCACAUAGGCUGCCAACUUGGGCGCUAAAAGAACCAGUUGGGCUAGUUCGUUUCAGAAUUUCAAUGUGGAUUCAGGAAUUGUUUUGUAAGAUAUGCGAAAUAGUAGAGGGAUGAAUAGUGUUUCAUUAAUAAAAGUGUCCUGUAAAUUAGAAGGUGUCAUAGAAACUAUAAUCAAUAAAUAACUUUUUUUCCCCACGGGUGGUGUUUCUUGUGGGGAUCAGUGACUGGUUUAGGUUCACCCAAAAUGAGUUCAGACUAAAAUUGGUUUGAGUCAAUGCCGUGUCUCUUUUUUCCAGAAAUCAACUAUUUUAUGCAUUGAAUAAAUCAUACAAAGAAAAUAUGAACGCCCGCAAAACCUAAACCCUGGUUGCUAACUUUCUAUGUUUCAGUUCUAUUCACGCAAGAAUAUUAGUUUAAGUUUGGGAAAAAUGGCAACUUACCUAGUGAUUACUUGGUUUUGGUUUGCGACUAUUUACGCAACCAACCAUGAGUUUGACUUUAACGUCAUGGGUUGAAGCCUCCUACAGGAAGGGAGAAAGCUCCACAGCUAGCUCCAAAAGAGAAUUAUCACAUUGAUAGCUCCAGAGAUUCCCAAGGGGACUGAAUCAAAGACAAGUUCCUCACUUUUUCUUCUUUUGAGGCCAAAUAUGAACCAAGGAUCACACAACCUCAUUCAACUUCAUAAGUUUGAUUUCAUGCAGUUGAACACUGGGUGAAGGCCAUGACAAGAAUUGAUUCAAAAAUUCUAUCACUCUUUUAAGUAAUGGAAGAUUAUUAUCUCUGAUUGGCAUCACAACAGCACAUGCUCCUAGAUCUUUCUAGACACUCCAUGCAAUGAAAGCACAAUGGAUCUUGUAACGAUAGAAACUAAGCCAUGCUACAGUACUAGAUGAUGAGGUAAAACUAGUAGACACGGGUGGCAGCCUAUAUGGGAGGGACACAAGUCUAAUUGAUUUGCAUUUCAGCAUUAUAGAUAGGUAUGUUUUGGAAGAUUUGUUCUGGAAAUACCGCACCAAGUAGGAUUCUUUUUCUCUUUAGUGGGUCCACUUGCAUGCCAAUUAACGAGUUGAAAAGUAUGAGCACCUACCUCGUGCUCGUGGAACCGAAGGUCAGUGAAGUGGGGCUCCUUUUGGCCUCGUGUAAACUUGAUUCAGAAGUGAAGUUAAUAGUCUUCCAUUCAGAUGGAUACAUGGGAAUUUUUCUCUUUUAUUUAUUUAUUUAUUUUUUUUUUGUGUGUGUAUGUCAAAGGAUAAUGAAUGAAGCGCGUUAGCUUGUUUUCUGACUGGAACCGCAGAUGUCCAAAUUGGAGUUCCUUCAUUUCUUACUUAGGAUUGUUACAUGUAUAAACAAGGUAUAAGAAAUAUGCCAACGUGUCUUGAGGAGUUAUUGAUUAGAAAUAACAAGUCACCCGACUGUAGAGUUCCAAGAUUUGAAUCUUCAGACCCUAUAGCAGCCUCUGGGGUACGUGGCAUCCUAUAGCAUAUUAAUGAAGGCUUUUUCGAUUUAGACUUCACAAUACCAAUUAAUAUGUAUGCACAAAAUGGAGAUGACCCCAAAAAAAACAGAAUCGCCAUAGUUUAUGAGGUUAAGGUGAUUCUCCACUUAAUAUCUACAUUAGCUAAUUAUGUAAAUCAAAUGAACUUCUAUUUUUCCUUUUUUUUUUUGGUUUAUGUCAAAUAGUAGCCCAUAAUUAACCCAACCAUUAGCCUGUUUGAAUUGAUUUCACAUGCACAAUGUUGUAGUAGUUCAUAUUUUGAAUUUUAUUUUUACAAAGGUAGUUAAGGAAAAUGAAGUAUAAUAAUUAUAAAAGCAGACUAUAUACACUACAAUAAUUGUUAGAAUGGUAUCUCAAAUUCUAAUUUAAAAUAUUAUUUUUUGUAAAAGAAAUAUUAUAUAGAAUAUUUCCUAAUUUUAUAAAUGAUUAUAAUUAGAUCUUUAUAAAAUAAGGAAAGUUGGUAAGAAUAUCUUUAUAAAUAUUUUAGGUCAUGAGAGAAAGAAAUGGGAUAAAAAUGUGAUGAAGAGGUGAAAUAAGAGAGUUGAUUAGGAUAUAGAUGUGAAGAAGAAAGGGAUUCAAUAUAUAUAUAUCUUUCAAUUACCACAUUAAAACCCUGUGAACCUUUUAUAUGGUUUACUUUAUUUUUAUAUUCCUCCUUUAAUAUAUUUACAUUAAUGCUUCCAUUGGCACAACAAUAACGAAUUACAAAUACAAGCAACAAGUCCCAUGUUUUAUUACCAAAAGCAGGUAAAAUCCACCUAAUAUAUUACAAUAUAUUCAUCCAAUAUUUUAGACCAAUUCUUCACCAUAAAUAUCAUAAUGUGGCUUUUGUUCUUUCUUAAAUUUAAAUUGAAUUGUCUUAUAUCAAUUUGUUUGUGAUUUUUUCAUUAACUUCACUUUCAUUUGGUUAUCUUUGGUUUUUGAAAAGUAUUAAGGAAUUAAUUAACAAAAUAAUGUUAAGAAAAAUAAUUUUCUCUCUUUUGAUUUUGAUUUUGUAGUAGAAAAAUAUAAUUAAAAUUAUUUAAAAAGUAUGUAAUUUUAAAUUAUUUAAUAUUUAGAUAAAAAAAAUAAGUCUAAUGAGUUUAAAAUAACAUAUAAAAAUAAUUUAUUUAUUUUAAAUUUAUUUUUUAUUUUCCAUUAUGUUCUCUUUCUCUUUUACUUUUUCAUAUUUUUUCUUACGAAGAAUCAAACACAACCUCAUAUUAUAUGUCAAGUGUUUGUCUAUAUUUGAGCAAUGUUAGAUACGGCCAUGGAUUCAUCAAACUAAACUGAUUUUAAUAGAUACUUCACAAAUUGAUUUAUACACUAAAUCAUUGGAUAGCAAUGAUGCAUUGGAAUUAAACGUAGGAUGAAGCUCGAAGAACACUGUUUGUGUAACAACAUAUUUAUGAAAUUAUGCAAAGGAUGAGCUUCGGGGUAGUAGUACAAGGUCAUUAAUGGAGAGCCGUGUUAAACCUUGAUUGUGAUUGGAUUCCGUUAUCAGCAACAGCAACCUUGUUUGUAACCUUGAAAGUCAUUCUGUCCACAUCGAAACUCCAAUUUGACGUUUGUAAUUACCAUUCCUGGAGUGUUCCUUGAUUGAAAUUUAAAUAAUAAUUGCGGCCCACAAGGAAUAUUUUCGAUUCUGUGGGAAUUUGACAAGGUUUGUUAGAGAAGACUGGUGACAUGUUGACUUCAAUGGUUCAAAUAGGAGACGUAUGUGGAUUUGGGGGGUUUAAUUGAAACUGAGUCCCUAUGGCUUUUUAAUAUUUGCAUUGAGCAGUCUCCAUGUGACUUCCUAAUUCCCACCAACCCUCCUGUCCAUGCUGUGAAACUAAAUUGUAAUUUAUCAGCCUUUGUCAAUGGUUUCUAAAUUAAAGAUAUAGACCAUGCAUGUACUUUAAUAAAAGCAAAUCUAAAGUGUAGAUAGCAGCAAUGGUGACACCCAAUAUUCUCCAUAAAAUAGAAUUAGAAUAAGCAGUGUUACAUUGUUCAUGAUCACCUACAAGCAUACAAGAACUUCCAUGAAUAACUCAUAGCAAUUGCCAACAGGGCGUCGUAGAGACUCAUACAUAGAACACUAUCCACCCAGAGGAAAGGACAAGACCAGUGCGCUGCAGCUCUUAUUUUUCACAUGUAUACCACCACUCGUAAUAACCAAAUUCACUCAGUUGGGAUAGGUGGGAGAUGGUGGUUUGUGGGGUGGCUUGUGGGGAGGAGUUGGAGGAGGCUUUAUUUUCUGAGGCGGCUUGUAUGAGUGUGCAGGAGGAUGCCCGGGAGUGUGACCAUAAUGUGGUGGCUUCUCUCCCGUAGGUGGUUUGCCAAAUGGGCUUGGUGGCUUCUCUCCCUUAGGAGGUUUACCAAUUGGGGUUGGUGGCUUGUGUUCUGGGAGUGGUUUCUCUCCCUUGGUAGGUUUGCCAAUUGGGGUUGGCGGCUUAUGUUCUGGGAGUGGCUUCUCUCCCUUGGGAGGUUUGCUAAUUGGGGUUGGCGGCUUAUGUUCUGGGGGCGGCUUCUCUCCCUUGGGAGGUUUGCCAAUUGGAGUUGGCGGCUUAUGUUCUGGGAGUGGCUUUUCUCCCUUGGGAGGCUUGCCAAUUGGGGUUGGCGGCUUAUGUUCUGGGGGUGGCUUCUCUCCUUUAGGAGGUUUGCCAAUUGGAGUCGGCGGCUUAUGUUCUGGAAGUGGCUUUUUUCCCUUGGGAGGUUUGCCAAUUGGGGUUGGCGGCUUAUGUUCUGGGGGUGGCUUCUCUCCCUUGGGAGGUUUGCCAAUUGGAGUCGGCGGCUUAUGUUCUGGGAGUGGCUUCUCUCCCUUGGGAGGUUUUGUUGGUGGCUUGUGUUCUGGAGAUGGCUUCUCCCCUGGAGGCUUGUGCUCCGGAGGUGGCUUCUGAAAUGGCGGGGGCUUGGGGUAAUGAGCAAGAGAUGGAGUACUG
rnacentral:lncRNA from 1 species